AAAACCACCCUUUGUGAUCUUCUUCAUCAAUCACCCUUUGCUUUCUUCCAAUAUUCCACAUCAAAGCACCUUUCCACUUUUCCAUUCUAUAUCCCCCAUCUUUUCCUCCCUUAUUAAAAGCCGCAUGCAGCACCUAAGCUAAGCAUAACUUGUACACACUUACACUUGCACACAUAGGGAGAGAGGGUGAAGGUGAGAAUCUCAAUUGUUUAGCUUAUUCCGUGAGUGACUCUAUUCUAUUCCAUUAACAUGACAGGGAAGAGAAACCAAAUUACAACAAGUCCUGUGGGAAGUCCAACAUCUGGUAACAUCUCAGACAGCUCCUCCUCAAAAGAACAAGACAGGUUCCUCCCUAUAGCCAAUGUUAGCCGAAUCAUGAAAAGGGCACUCCCAGCCAAUGCCAAAAUCUCAAAGGAAGCCAAGGAAACAGUUCAAGAGUGUGUGUCUGAGUUCAUAAGCUUCAUCACUGGUGAGGCCUCAGACAAGUGCCAGAGGGAAAAGAGGAAGACAAUCAAUGGUGAUGAUCUUCUUUGGGCCAUGACAACACUAGGAUUUGAGAACUAUGUUGGACCCUUGAAGUUCUACCUGAACAACUACAGGGAAACUGAGGGAGAAAAGAGUUCUAUGGCAAAACAAGAAGAACACUCUCCAACUCAUCAAACCAAUAUUGAUGGGGUGGUGGUUGAAAUCAACAAGUUGCAUCAUUCUGUGGCAGCAACCAACAAAGCUGCAGACUUCAACACUUUCAGUGGUGGUGGCUUCUAUUCUGUGGGGCCUCAAGUGGCUGCUCCAAAGAGCUUCACUGAGAUUGGAGGGAUCAAUGGCUAUAGAGAAAGUUCCAUUGCUCAAAGUGCGGUCAGUGGUGAUCAUGAUGCAAGUGGCAAUAGAAUGAUGCCACCCAACCUACGUUAUAGGGUUGAAUGGUAGAUGUGAUAUGCAUACCAACAAGUUCAUGUCCCUUCCCCAUUAUAUAUUAUAUCAUAUCAUAUAGUAUAAUAUAUAUAAAUAAUAUUUUUAUUAUGAUAUAACUUUCGUUGCUGAUUAGCUAGACCAGGGAACGGAUCAGUUUAAUUUCUUGAUAUCUAAUGGUACAAUAUUUAUUUCACACACUUGGAGAGGAUAUAUUAAAUUAGUAUUAUUUAGUUACUCAAUAUAUAUAUAUAUAUAUAUAUAUAUAUAUAUAUAUAUAUAUAUAUAUAUAUAUAUAUAUAACACAGUUUAUUGGAGUUUGGAGUGUUUAGUAGUAUUUAUCUUGUGACAUGAGUCUUCCUUAGUGUUCAAGUCAAAAUGUUCACGAGAAUAUCUCUCUAAGAUCGUAUCGUACGGUACGAGAUUGUGAUGCAAAAAAGAUAAUCCAUGAGUUCAUCUUCUUCAUGUUGUUUGGGCGCUGCCAAUUUUUAUUGUAGAAGAGGUGAAAACUGAAAACUUGUCUACAUUUCAGCUUUUAAUUGUCUUGGAUUUACUCUUUUACUUGGACCCUUUUCAUCAAUUCAGAAUUAAUGCAACUUUAUAAAGUGCUGAUGAACAAAGAGUCACAUUUCUAUCAACGAAUCUCAAAUUAAUUCAAGCCUUUCACCAUUGUAUCACCCUAUUUAACUCACAUUGUGAACAUGGCCAUUGCAUACAAUUUUUGAGAACAAACUAAUGGAAAAAAUUAACAGGCAACUCAGGAAGGUGAAGAAUUACAAUCAAAAUAAGACUUGUUGAUUAUUGAUUAGUGUCCAUUGUUCAAGCAUCAAUCCUCUAUAGACUAUAUGGAUAAUACAAUAUAAUUUCGAAGAUUAGCUCUCUAAUUGAAAGGAAAGAAUCGAAAUAUUUUCAUUCUCCCGGGUGAUUCUUUCUGACCAACUACAUCUGGCAGUAGUUAGUAGAAAAUGGUAUAUCAUCAGCGGAUCAAAUCUUUCUUUAGAGAACUAUUGUUUGAAAAGAAAGGGUUUAUAUGAUUUGUAUUAUGAAGCUAUUAAAGAACAAUUACUCUUUUAAUAAGCAAAUGAGUGUAGAAAAUUAGUUAAAAAAUUUAUUUGGUGCAUUUUAUCUAUCGAUGAUGUUUGGUACAGUAACAAGACAAAGCAAGUUAAUCCAUUUUUAAAAAAAUAGGUUAAUUAAAAUGCUUAGUCUGACGUAUUUAAGGAAAAUCAGUAGGACAAGUGGAAAACCCACUUAAUAAUUGUUUUAAAAGAUGAAUAAUAGGUUUGCAAGUUAACUCAAUGAUUGUUUUGAAAGAUAAACUAAAAGGUUUACUUGUCCAAAAAAUUUGGUAGAAAUUUAUUUCACUUUUUGUAGAGUUGUCCAAAACUUGACAAAACAUGAUUAAAAAAUGUUAAUCUACAUAACCUUUCAUUUUACAUAACUUACAUGUGAUUUAUAUGCCUAACUCUGCCUGAAAAUGAAUAAAAGGGUAAGAUAACUUUAAUAAAUAAAUAAAAAGAAAUUUAACAAAAUCUACUUCAGCUUCAACAUGACUCCUAGGUUGCAUAUAAAAGUCAGCUCAAAUAAUGUACCUUAUUUUAGUUAGUUAAAUUAGUUGAGAUUUAACUUAUUUUGUCUCUUUAAUAUAUAGAUAUUCUUUAUUGAAAGUAAUUAUGUUCAAGGAUAAAAUUAUUAUGAAUAACAAAAUUUUCUGACUAAUAAAAUUAAACAAAUGUCAAUUGAUAUGUGUUCGAUAAUAAUCACGGUAGUUUUAGUUACAAAUUUUAAAAUUAAAAAACUUAUUAAUAUCAUAAUAGUUUUAUAAUGAUGUGCUUCUUUAAAAUAUUAUUUGGCAAAAGAAUAAAUUUGUAAAAAAAACAAGUUUUAGACUAAAAUAAUAUAGAUAUUUACAAUACUAUCCAAAAAAGUUUUUCCAAAGUCAAACUUUCAGACACUUUUAUUAAAACUAAUCGUUUUAUGUUUUGCACAAAAGACAUUGUAUUAGAAAAGCUUUAACAAUCUAGACUUCUCAAUUGCCAUUCUUAUUUAGAGGAAAUUCAAAAAUAAUUUCACUAGCAUGAUUUCAUUUUUUAUAUAUAAUGUAUUCUCUCCUCAAAUUCUUCAAUAGUCAUUAAAGUGUUAUGAUUAGUGUUAUGAUUGUAAGAAACAUUAUUAUCUUAAGAUGGUGUUGGUCUAGAUAAUUGAAAUCAUCUCUAUAUUUUAUUAAAAAUCAAGAAAGUAUGACUCAAUCGAUUGUAAAGUGUAUGUGAUUUAUUAUAAAUAUCCUGGUACCUAAGCUUGAUUCUUUUAAAUAAACAAACAAUUUUUGUGUAUACUAUGAGGUAAGUUAACACAAUCUAAUAAUGAACAGUAAGGUGUAUUAUUAAAACUUUUUACCUUUGAUUUGUUAACUAAUGUACUAAGAAUACUCAUUAAUAUUCUUAAGCAAUUGUUUUUUUUUUAAUUCUGAUAGCUGUUUUUUUAACUCUGUUCUUAAGUAAUUGUUUAUUUUAAAUACUCAUUACCAAAGGAAUUUAGUAAGAGUAAAAAAUAUCUCAUUAGAUCAAACACCCUUGGAAUAUUUAGAAAGACAUAACUAGCCCACAUUUGGAAAACGAGCAUUGAUUUCUGUCCCAUCUCUAAGCCGAGACAGUAAUUCAAAAUGCAUGGCUUUGUGAAUUCUAUUUUGAAACAGAUGUAUUCCUAUGGUAUAUCAUCUACAACAGAAAUUCCUCAAGACUUGCUUUUCAAAUUGAGCUUCGGGAGAACAUGAUCGUAAAAAUUAACAAUUAACCAAUUUAAGCUAUGUUUGCUUUUCCAUUGAAAAUUUGAUAGCACAAAUUACAACAUACUUCAACUUAGUAAGAAAGGAAAAAGCACAUUGAAAUUACAUCUAACAGCAACCUAAACAAGCACUUGAUUUAAAUGGCAAACAGGAACAAAACGCCCAAAUAUCGAGAUAGAUGUAUUGAAAUUCUACCCUUAAAAGUAAGAGCAACUUCAUUAGCAUCAUAGAACUAUUAACUAACCUAUUUCAAGUCACAUUGUACUAAGAAAAUUUUCAUAGCAGCUACGAUAUUAUAAACAGCAUUUUCACAACUGAGCCACAUUAAACGAAACAAUAAUGAAUUGAUUUCUUCAUUUAGCUAUUAGUCAAAACUGUCGUACAUCUAAUUUUGAAGGGAAAAAGAAUAAUCUAAGAGAAAACCAAGACAUGCAAGAGCCACCCAAAUUGCAGCUCCAGAACCUCAGAAAUUCUCUUCACCAUGGAAGCCAGAAACAUCUCUUAAAUUCCUCCCAACACCUAGUUCACUUCUCUAGGAUCUCUGACCUACAUACAGUUUUACAUGGUAUAUGUCACUUUAGACAACUACACUGUCAAAGACAAUUUGAUGGGGCACCAGGGGGUUGCCUCCUGAACUACAUAGUUCAUAAUAAACAAAACAUCUCUUGUGUUAGGCAAAACAAGCCACAGAAAAAUUGUCAUUAUUGUCUUGGAGCCAAUCACAGAACCUCGUGAGCUUUUCCAUAAUACCUGUUAAUGAAUGGAGACUGCAAACACAGAUAAUGAUACUCUGUAAAUUAUAGGUACAAGGAAAAUGCAUCUAAUCAAAACCAGAAAUUCAACAAAUUGUGAUAUAUUCUAUAUCAAGCUGCUAUCCUACCCUGAAUUGUCUUCCUUUUAUUAACUCAUUGAAUAUAUGCUCACAAAGGUUAUGUUCUUUUACACAACAUGCCAAGAAAUAGACAGAUUUUGUGGUAAAGCAGAUUAGUAGGGAUAUUUAUUCUGGGAAGAAAAUAGUUACAACCAUAAAGAUGUUGUCAUUUCCAUUUCUUUACCUUGUAAGCAGUACCAAAUUAAAUGUGAACCGGAUUGAUGAGAAGAGGGAUAAAAAAAAGCAAAAGGAACUAAUAAUUCCACAGAAGUAUAGCAGCUAAUAGUUCAAUGAUUUCAUUCCUCUAAUUUGGAAUAGCUAGUUGAUUUUUUUAACAAAGUACGGGCUCUUCUCUCAUCAACUCCUUCACUAUAACAAUCCAAAGUUGCAAAGGAGAAUUUGAAUAUCUAUUCCCAUCAGUGCUUUCCAGACACACAUAUGUAUGUAGGCACACCUAAGAAGCCCGCCAUUCUCCCUCAAUGUAUUACAAGUUUUAAAUAAGGAAUUACCAAUUUUCAGAGAAUAAGCUAAUGUAAUAACAUCAAAUAAGACAUGUGCAGCAUAAAUAAAAAAGAAUAAUAAUAGAGUGGCUACUUUGAAAUAAGAUUGGCUAUUGGGCAAUUGGCUUCUACUUUAGUGUAAAGCACAUGAUCUUUUUAAAGGGCUUUCCCUUGUAAGUUGAGGGAUUGGGUACCCUUAAUUCAUCAAUGAUUUUUUAAUAUUCUCCAUAGUUUGUAUCUUCUUUUUAUUAAAAUAAAAGGAGGACAUUCUAUGCUCCUAACUAUCUGAAAUCAUCUUAGUCCUAAUGAAUUCAUCCUUUGAUCAAAAAGAAGAAAACAAAGUAAUAAUAGAAUUCCUAAACACCUACCUUAACAUUCGAUACAUCAGGUGCCUCUGGAGAUUGAACAGGGUAGAACUUAUAAAAUCUCAUACUCUCAAACGCAGCUUUAGUUUCCUCACUCAUUUCUUCAAUGGCUUUUUUUCGAGCUUCCCUUGCCUACAAGAGGUAAAAAAGGUAUUUAAAAAACAAGCAGAAAGCAAAGCAUAAUGUGCAGAACCAACAGCACCAAAAGUACCUCUCUAUUAGCUUUCUUUGCUUCACGAACCUUUUCCUUGACAAAUUCCUAAAAAAAACAAUACUAUCAGCCUAACUUAUUACUUAAAAAAUACAGAAAUUAUGGAAUAACUAGAUGCCUUCUAUUAUUUGGUACCUUAAAUGCAUCCUUUUGAUCUUCUGAUAACUCCUCCUCCUCUAUGAGCUUAUCAGUAAACUCCUGCAAAAUAUAGAACAAAGCAGUCUCAGAGGCCUCUGCCCAUUGUCAUUUGAUUUUCCAAUUGCCCGUUACUAUUACCCUCUCUCUAUUAGGAGUUAUUUGGUUUUGGAAAGAAAGAAAUGUUUUCUAUUUUCAUAUUUUAAUUUGACUUUUAAAGUUUUAAUUACAAAAGUGUCACCUUACUUUCACAUUAUUUUCUGUUUUCAAAGAUUAGUAUAGCAAACGGUGACUAUUACCUAUUUUCAAAGAUUUGUAUAGGAAACAAUGAUUUGUAUACAGAUAUUUGAAAACAAGAAAACGAAAACAAGAUAGCAUUUUGUAAUUAAAAGGCUAAAACAUGUUCAUGAUCCCUAAUAAAUACUAGAAUUUUGUGUUUGUUUCCUAAUAAAUUUUUUCUUUGUUUUUGCUUCCUAAUAAAACCAAAAUUUUUAUUUUUAUUCCUUGAUAAUUUAGCAAAUUUUGUGUUUGCUACUUGAUAAAAAAAAUCAGUUGUUAUUAGUCUUUUUGAAAGGGACUAAUAACAAAUGAAAAAAAAAAUUAAUAGGAAGCAAACACAAAAUUCGCUAAUUUAUCAACAAAAAAAAAGAGUCAUGAAACAAAAACAAAAUUAUUGUUUUAUUAGGGACUCAAUGCAAAGAAAAAAUUUAUUAGGGAACAAACACAAAAUUUGGGUAUUUAUUAGGGAUCAAAAACAUAUUUUAUUCUAAAAGAAAAAACAAAAUAUCUUCUCACACCAAUUGGUCCCUUAAAUUUCCAGCAUAAUAACAUCAAGCUUUAUCAAAGAUUUCAAAAGCAUGACAAUGAUUUUAAAGUUGCAACUGCUAGCUGACUUAAUCUGAAACUACAAUCACCACAAAGUAAAUUCAUUACCUCAAGUUCAUCUAAUUCCCAAUCAAAUUCACAGAAGACCUGCAAACAAGAUACAUAAGUAAUAUGUAAACACUUACAAAUUAGAAAAUCAAACAGGGCACUAACCUGCCCAUCUUGUUAAGAAAAAUUUAUUCAGAAAGGUCAUUACAUAACCAUAUUAUACACAAAAGGAUCCCAAAAAUCCAAACACCGUCAAUUCACUAGGAAAAAGCUUCAUUAAUGUAAUUACCGGCUUUGGCUCAGCUGGAUAUAUUAUUUGAACUUCAGUACUCUGUUCAAGUUCAUCUUCCUUAAAUGGCUGAUAGAAAUCUGCAGAAAGAAUAGCAGUCAAUAAAAAACUCUCAUAUUAGGAACAUUAAUACUAACUGAUGAAGAAUCAGUAUGCCUUGAACAAAAUGAAGCAUCAAUAAUUGAUAAAAAAAAAUUGCUUUGGCCAGAAUCCACAAUUCUCACUUUUUUAUUUAAUAAAAUGUCGUUAUCUUCUUCCUUGUAUUAGAUAGAACUGAUAUACACGUAUGAGAACAAUUGUAAUAUUCUAAAGCCAGUAGACUUACAAGGCAAGCAGUACUCAUAUUUCUUUAAUCUAUCCAACUUCAGAUGUUUUAAAGCAGACCUGUACCGCAGGUUAUAACAUAGGUAAGAUGAGUCAGUCAUAUUCAUAAAUAAGGUACAUAGGGGUCAAACUGUAAAAUUGUGCAUGAGUAAAAAGCUUUACGUUAAAAUGUCAACAACUACAGUAAAAGGUCAAUUCAUCAAGUUGCAUAUAGGAAAUAAACUGUGAAAUAAAUACUCAGUUUUUCCCAAACAUCCAUUUUAAGAUUUUAUGGAUCCACAAACUCAUUUAUUUUAUAAGGCUUAGACUCCUGACGUUACUCACUUAUUUCUGCAUUUCGGGUUAAAAACCAACACGAAUAGAACAUGCCAAGGAUAAAUACUUAAGCAAGUAAUCUAUUGGAGAAUGGAAACAGAAAAGCACACAGAAAGUUGAAGAUUCUUCACACUACUUGAAAAACUACAGUUUUUUUGCUACAUGCAGGAGAAGAAUAUGAUGCAAUCACCAAACAAAAUUUAACGAUAGACUUGUAGCUUACAAAUUUUGCCUUGAGAAGUGAAAAUGGAGACUAAAAAUAACCAGAGAACAGCCAAAAGCACAAUGAAAAGAUUAUUUAAGCUAGAUAACCAAUAACAUAAAGGUAUGUAUAUUUCUCCAAGAACAAUCCAUUCAGAAGAUCUGAAACAAACUGUAGAAUACAAAAUUGCAAAGGGGAGAAAAUAAAAGGUUAUACCUUCUUUGGGUACAACUCAAGAUAAAUAUCUGGGAUUUCAGUCUAUCAACUUGGCUAUCUCUGUUGAAGACAUAAAACCAUAAUGAAGAAGUUUAGAGAUGAUCAAGAAGCAAUGAUUCAUAAACAUACUUAAAAGAAACCACCAAAACAAACAAAUUGAGAUGAAUACCUGUCCUCCAAGGGAAUGUAUGGAACCCAGUCCAUUUUCAUUUGCUUCAUCGGAAUUAUCUCUUCAGCCUCUCUUUGAACUGAGUUUAUCCCAAUUUUAUCAGAUGGUGGGAAAGGUGAUACAACCUGCAGAAGGAUGUUGGAAUAUUUUCAAAAUUAAAAUCAAAAUACAAAUAUCCAAAUCAUCUAAAGUGAUACAAGGUUGCUCCAUCAUGUAAAACUUGCAACAAAACACAUUCAAUGAACUGGCAUUUCCAAAUUACACCUUGGCAUUAAGGAUAUGAUUUUAAAUAUCUAAUCUAAGUCUAUAUACCAUAGAACCAUGCCCCAGAAGGAGAGACACAAAUCACAGCAAGAGGAAACAUAUUAUCGCAUACUUGCAAAAAUCAAACAGUAUAUUUUUCCUGAAAAAACUCAAAAGCAAGAAUCAAUUUGGUCAUCAAGUGUUCAGGUCACUGACUUAUGUAGACAGCCCAGUUUGACAACUUACAGCUACUACAACAGGUAUGCAGACAACUUUGCUUUCCCCUUUAAACAUGACUAAUUGAGCUGCAGUCAGAAAGAUCAACAUAAGAUAAUGAAAGGCCAAAUAAUAAAGGGAAAACGGCUACCAAGCAAAUCAGCCGCCUUCAAAAUGACAAGAAACAAAGUCUGCAAGCCACUUACGCUCAGUGCAACCAAAGAGGUAAACCUUUUUCCCAUACAACACGCCAUUCUCUUCAAACGCAUUCUGAAAAAACACACCCCCAAAUCGCAACAUCAUCAGCAAUUAGUCAAAAUAAAGCAUUUUAUCUCCACUCAAAAACAGAACACCAACCAAAACCUAAGCAGUCUAAUCCAAUACUCACUUCUAGAUUUGAGAAAUCCCACUUGUAUUGAUAGACAGAAUCCAAUUGAUCCCACUGCCAUUACAACACGAAACAGUUAAAAAAAACACGGCACAGUCAUAAACGAAGAAAAAUCUACAAAUUAAUUGAACAAACCUCAGUUCCAACGGGGAAUGUUUCCUUCCACAAAUCUUCCUACACAAUCCAAAUUGACAAAUACCAUCUUCCAUUAGUAAAACACAAUGCAGAUACGAAUAAGAAGAAAAAACCUAAACACAUAUAAUACAACCACUUCGAAGUAUAGCUAACUAAAGCUAGACACGAAAAAAAAGGGAAAAUGAAGCGCCGAAUCAAUAUUUUCUUCUUAAUAAACAAAACGGCUGCGUUCCAUUCCGUUCUUCACAGCGUUUCUUGUUCGGCGCAUAUAGUUAAAGAAAACGGUUCGAAUUGAAAUCAAAAAACUAAACUAACCAAGUUGCGCUUGUCUUCGAAGUACUCAGGUUCGGAUUGAGGCUUGGAGGUCUUGGCUCGUUUAGCUCGAGGCUGAGCUUUGGGCAUGUUAUCUUCGGGUGCGUGGUGUUUGGCUUCUUGGUCCUGCUUGGUCUUUCUCUUAGCUCCUCUCCUCAUUGUGCUGGCUAUAACCAAACAGGGAAGAAAGAGAAAUAGGGUUUGGCUUUGGGUGGUGAAUGCUGAAUAGAAGGCGCUGGAUCCAGAUUCAAAAUGGAGAGACAAGUUUUUUUUUUGAAACGCAACUACACAGACAAAUAAAUAAAUGAAUGAAAAAAUAAAAGAGGUUUUAUAGGGAGGGUGGGGGGCGUGAAAAUAACGCACGCGGCUAUAGUCAAAUCUUCAAAUAGUGGAUUUUAAUUACUAUGAUUCGAUUUCGAAUUAAUUAAUUGUCAUAAAUAUGUUUUAUAUCUUAAAAUUUAGGAUAAAUUUAUUUUUAAUUCAAAUUAAUCACUUUUUGCCUUAUCAUUUAGAAAUAAAAGUAUUUUAGUUCCUUUGUCCAAAAGUUCUUCGUCCAAACGUCGUCAAAAUAAAUAUUUCUUUUCUCCCUAAUAAUAAGAAAUUAUUAAUUAAUUUACGUUUAUUAAAAAGUUAAUCAUUUAGUUAUUAUUAUUAAAUUUAUCAGUAAUUAUAUUAUUUAUUCAAAAUUAUCCUUAAAUAACUAAUGUAUGAAAAGAGAAUAAUAACAGUGGAGUUUUAAUUUUUAAAACUAAAUUAUUUCAUUCUCCUAUUCUCAUAGGAGUCAGAAAUAGAUAAUUUGUAAUAUUUAUUAUUUAUAAAUUAAAUUAAUUAAUGGUAUUUUGGUCUAAAAUUAAUUAAUACAAUAGACAUGUACAAAAGAGUUUUAUAAAAAAAAUAUACUAAAGUUUAAAAACAAUGUCUUGUAAAAAGGAAUGGAUAGAGUACUUUAAUUCUUGCAAUUUUAAAAAUAACCUUAAUUUUUUUAGUUAUUAAUACUCAAUUAACAAAGGGUAUUAUAAUUAACACUUAUACUUAUAAUUAAUACUUGAUAAAUAUAAUAAAUGUUAACAAAUGCUCAAAAACCAUUAUUAGUUAAGUAACUAAAAAUAUAAAGUUUCUUUAAUGAAAGAUACAAAAUUAUGUUCUUCUUGAUUAUUUUUUUUACGUUCUUCUAUAAUUUACACAUUAAAAAAGUUCUUAUUUUAAUUCCUUAAUCCGCGUCCUAAAUGGUUUGCAAGAGCCUAAUAAUAUUCCAAUUAACUUAUUUUUUAUAUACUUUCAAGAGUUGAAAGCAACAAUUAAAUUAAAUAUUGCACAAAAUUUUAAGAGGAAUAUAAUAAUAAUGAUGCAGUAAAAGGCUUGCUAUUGAUAAUAUAAAAUGUUUUAUGCUUUUUCAUUUUUUUUUAUUGUCCCUAGACAAAUCUUUUCUUCAAAUUGUAUAGAUAAAUUUAUGGAAUUGACAUUUUAACCCGGAAUCAGGUCAAAUGUCAGAGAGUUUAUAAUAAUAUAUACAUACUUUUUAAUCUGGACGUCUUUAGUUACGGAAUCAUGACAUGAUUUUAUAUGAUCAUUUUUUAAUAUUUUAAUGAUUAAGAUAUAUUUUUUAUUUUUAUAAAUAUAAAAAUAUUCAAAAUUCAUAGGUAAAAUUUAGAGUAUAAAUUUGCAAGUGGGAAUAGCAAUUUUAAGUCAUGGGCAAGGCCUAUCUUAUUAAAUAAAUUAUAUCAUGAAUUAUUUUAAUUUGUAAGAAAUUUAAAUGGAUUUUGUUUGCCUAACUAUCACUUAAAAAAUUUGUUUCUCUUUCCAAUUCUCACGAUGGAAGAAUCAUUACCCGAAAAAAGUAGUUCAAAAUGAUGAGAAAACAUUUCAUAAAUAAAUGAGAACAUAAUUUUGAUGAUCAGCUAGCUUUGUUUUGUUUCCUAUGUUUUUGGGUUGAAGGAGCAUCAGAUUUAGAUGAUGUAGAAUCAAGGCCAAGACAUUUGAGGAAUGCUUCUUUGGCUAAGUUGAAAUAAUAGCAAGGGUGGAGGAAAUACACAGACGAACUUGAAGCCUCCCCUUCUGCAAACUCUUCUCUCACUAUUCCUAUCUCACCUUUAAUACUUGUGUUCUCUACUCCCUGCCAUGUCAAUUUACUUUUAGUCAAAAGGAAAAUAAAUUAUAAUGCAUAUUUUCAUGUAAAAUUUUGUUAUGAUUAGAUUAUAGUUAGAGCCUAUGAUCUAAUAAUAUUUAAACUCGAGAUUCAAUGUACACAAAAAGAUUCCCAUCUUUCUUUUAUGCUUUAAUAAUAUACUUAUGAGAGAAAUAUACACAAAAUUAAAACAUGACACGUCAUGAGAGAGGGGAUCUAUUCCUACUGAUUAAUAUAAAUGUAUGAUUUAUAGUUUGAAGAGAAUGUAUUAUUUCCUUUUGAAGAUAGAAAGAAAAAAAUCAACACCGAGUAGUUGACAAAUGGUCAUAAAUUCUUGGGGAUCUAGGAAUUCAACAACAAUAAUUCUCUUUUUUUACCAUAUAUAUAUAGAGAGAGACUCAGAUAGGCAUAUUUGAUUACUACGACAAAUGAGAAUAAUGAAUAUAGAUUAUUUUUCCUUUUGAUUAUGGUGAAAAAAAAUUAUUAACUUUUAUUUUAAUAAUUAAGAUGAAUAAAUAAACAAGCAUAACUUUUUAUGAUUCUUACAUUUUUAAAAUAAGAAAUCGUUCUUUUAUAUAUAUAUAUAUAUAUAUAUAUAUAUAUAUAUAUAAUAUUACAAUAUAUUCAUAUUUUCCCACACUACUCCAACCCCCCAAAAAAUAUCCCUACCCUUGUGACUUGUGAGUCGAUAUUAAUUAUAGAUCCAAAAUCUCAUAUAAACCAUAUCAACACCAUUUUUAAAUUCCAUACCCAAAUUAUUUUUUUAUUUACAAAGGUGGCAUACCAACAUGCACGAGGUCCCAGCUGCAUACCAAAAUUAUCACUUAAAAUACGUUUUUCAAUCAGGAUAUUCAACACUUUUUAAAACAACAAAUACUUGCUAGCAAAAAAGAAAGAAAAACCAGCAACGUAUUGAAUACAGACAAGAUAAAUUAUUAGUUGUCCUUCUGAAAAGGAGUACUAGUAGUUAAACAACUACCCACAUCAAUUUCAUUAUUCAGUAAAUUAGGACGAAAUCCUUCAGGUCCUUUGGUAAAGCAGAUAGAGUAAUGAUAAAUGCUAAUUCAACCGACAGAUAAAUACUAUAUCAAAAAAAGUAAUCACUCACUGAAAGUUAUAUAUACUAUAUGAAUAAAUCAAUUAGAAAAAUCAAAUUUAGGAUUUGGAAUGCAGUAAUAAUUCUGACUAGAUACUUAAUAUUCUUCCUUGACAGAAAACCAGGUUUGACCUACCCUGUACUAGUAUAAUUUUUUAAGGCGUUAAAGAUCAUUAAAGACAAUAAUAAAGCUUUUCACAUCAAUAUUAAGGCAAAUGUAUAUUUGAUUUAAACCAAUAACUAAAUGUACACACUGGAUGCCGUCAAACGUAACAGCACUAGGUAAGGUAACUACUGUGGCAUAAAAUGAAUGAACAGAAACGUCAAAUUUGAAUACUUUGGUUGAUGGCCUCAAGCAAAUGGCAACAGAACCUUGCUUUCAAGCCAUCACAAUUUUAUGUGGCAGUCAAGACUGAAGAGAUUGACUGUUGAGACUUAUUUAGUCUUAUAUGGUAUAACCCAGUUUUUCAUUUUUAUUCAAAGAUGAAAAUGUUGAAUCACUAAAAAAAACUUAGAUACACUUUCAUAGGUAUUUUUGUUGUUCUCCAAUUAUAAUUAGAAUUUCACCUUAGUAAUUCGCAUUAAUAUUUAAUAGAAAUCUUUAGUACGAGAAUUAUUGAGCUAAGAUCCAAUUCUGAUUAGAGAACAAUAUCAAAAAUACUUACAAAGUCACAUCUAAAUUUUGUCUUAAAUCAUUACGCAUGUCUCGAAAUUUUGAAGGUGAAAAUGAAAAGGGAAGACAAUCAAAUGCGGCAUACAUUAAAUUCAUAACAAAAUAAGGGGACCAGGGGAGAUUGUUGAAAGUUCACUCUCGUUUUUUUGGUUAAUGUCUACUGUACCUAAACAAAGAAAGAGUCGGCGAUCAUAAUUCAUAACUUCAAAACAGGCGUAAAAAAAAAAAAACUUAAGAACAGGUAAAUGACAACUCCUUUCAACAAAAAGAAAAGGUAAAUGACAACUAAAACAUUUUAGUCAAUUUAAUUUCUUUUCCUAACCAGAAACAUUAAUUACCAACCUAGAACUUUCUUAACCAUGAAACCUCAAAUCAGUUAUCCACAAAAGUCAGUGGACCAUUUAAAGGUAAUUAAAAUCCAAUUUAAGGUUUCAGUUAGUGGCCUUAAUGGGAGGGGUGCUGUAACAAUCAACCCACUAAUACUCCAAUAAGAUCUACAACCUAGAUUUCUCAGAUGAAAAGAACAAUAAUAGAAGCUUAAUUUGAACUUCAACAAAUCAACAAGAAAUUGUCAGAGAGGACAUUAAAUAACCUAAGAAAAUAAAACCAAUAUAUGCAAACAAAGCCAAAAUCUUAGAUUUCUAUGAGCCAAAGAAGAUCUCUCACCCUUGGCUUAUUUCAAAAGGCCAAAAUAUAAAAAGAGAAGAGGUUAGAGGAAGCAAGUUGCAAUCUUUAUAUGCUGGGAAGCGUAACAAUCCAAAAGGGUAAAAGAAAAAGCAAAGAAAGGGAAACGGGGUGUACCCGGGUGCUCUGAAGACGGUUGGUCACAGCAGUGGAACCGUGGUUGGAGGGUUGUUGAGUGUGAAGAUCAGAAUCAGUGGCAGAGGCAGAAGGAGAAGUUGUGUGGUGAGAGGGAUCUAAAGUAAUGAUGGAGUGACAAAAGAGAAUGGUAAGGAGAAGAAGGAACAAUAACAGUUGAAUCCAUAUGAGCCAUGGAAUCCAGAAACUAUCUAACGUCAGCUCAUCUCCAAAAUCCAACAACAUACUAGUUUAGAUAUAAGAUAGAUAAUGAGAGAGAGAGAGAUUAGAAUCAGCAAAAUGUUUUUGGUUUGGACUUUGGGGUUAAAGGCAUUUUGGGGACAUAUGACCACACAUGGUACAAAUUAGCAUAGGCAGUUGAAAAAGAAACCACGACUAGACGCUGACAUGGAGGGAGCAAUGCCCACACGUGAAUCUGAAUAAUAAUGAUUCCAACGACAAAAAUCAAAAAUACACUCUUAACAAAUUCCUAAUUUCUUGUAAUUUUUUUUUGAAUUUACAAUGUAUUUUUAGUCUCUCUUUUAAAAUUUAAAUAAAUACAUUACAAUUUUAUGGAUUUCGAAAUUUAAAAAUAUGUUUUAUUUGUUUGUGGAUACGUGUAAUUUAACACAAUGUUAUGUUUGGUACAACAACAAAACAACAAAAAUAGAGAAAAGAGAGGAUGCAAAAUAGAAGAGAGAAAGGAAAUUUCAAUCGUUUGACAUGGUAAAAAAAAGGAGAGAUAAAGAAAAUGUGAGUCUCACGUUGAUUUACUUCAUCGAUAAAUAAUGAAGUUUUUAAGUUUUAACAAUAACACAUUUGUCAUAUAAAAUAAUCAAUUAAUUCUGUUCCACAAUCAAUUACCAAUUGUUUUCACACCAAAUUUAAUCAAUUAUCAAGUUUGCGAUAAAUUAUUUUAACAAAAAUGAUUUUAAGGGAAGAAAAUCUAUUAUCAAAAGUUGAUUAAAAAAUUAUUUUUUAUUUUAUUUUCUUUGUUACUAUUUAUUUUAAACUAAAUAUUUUUAUUUUAUUACUUACCUAAUUUUAUUUAUUUAAUUAUCAAGUUUGUUUGGAUUUAUUUCUAUAUUAUGUAGUUAAAAAAUCCCUACUUAUCAGAAAAUAUUAGUAGGAUUGACUUACUCUAGUACUCCACUUUUAAGUUAGUGGAGUGUAAUCUCUUUUUAUCCUUUUUGUUGAAACUUGAAAGGUUUUAUAAAUUUAAAGACAUCACAGUUUGCAGGUUAGUAAAACGCAGAACAUUCCUCCAAGAAAGGUGAGAGCUUGUUAAUCAAAAUUUUAACAGGUCAUUGAAAUGAAAAUAACAAAUUAAUAACAACAUAAUUAAUAAAUAGAGGUUAAAUGUAAUGUGGAUGCUGCUAUUUUUUAAUUAUGAACGGCAAACAGUAGGAUUUGGCUUGUGCUUAAGAGAUGAGUUUGGUUAUUUUGUCAAGGCAAAGUCUUUUUCUAUUGCUGGUAUAUUUCUCCUGUUGGCUUUAGCUUACUUGGAGGCUAUGAAUUGGGUCAAUGAACUUGAAUAUAUAAGAUUAUCAUAGAGCUAGACUGCAAAGCUGUUGUUAAUGGGCUAGAAGUAAAGGUAUAGUUAUAUCUGAUAUAGGAAGUAUUAUAGUACAUCCAAACAUAGCCUCAAACUUUGAGAUACAUUUUGGUGGGAGACACAAAUUUUAUAGCUCAUUGUUUAGCUUGGGCGACAAAAAUUUGAUGUUGAUCAUCAGAUCUUUUGCCGAAAUGAAUUGAGUUUUCUGUUUUUUUUAAAUAAAUAAAAAAAGUAAACCACACAGGCACUGUAUGAUACGUGCUGCUCUACGUAGAGUAGGCAUUGGUCUUUUGGUAUUUUUUAAGAAAUACUGUGCUAAGUUUUGACUUUUGAAUACCUAUUUCUUGGGAGAAUUACGAGGCAGAGAAGAGACAACAAUAUAAACAUUUGAUUUGUAUGAACGUCUGAUGUUAUAAAAUAAUAUAUAUAUAUAUAUAUAUAUAUAUAUAUAUAUAUUAAUAGUAUAAAUUUUUUUAUAAAAUUAUUCAAUCACAAUUUAUUAAAUAAUAUAUAGAUAUUCAACUCAUAUACCUUAUCUUUAAGUACACAUUUGUAUCAUGAGUUUUUCAUGGUAUCCUUCUAGAAUAAAUUAAAUGGAAUUAUUGUGUUAUAAAGCAUACUUUAUAGUAUUGAUUUUAUUCAUCGCUUUAAAUGUUCUAAAGCUUUUGACCUUUAAAGUUUAAAUGUCUUGAUAUUCUUUUCAUUAUUGAAUUUCACUUCUUGAAAUUGGUAAGAGUUGAUGUUACGGUGGUUCAAGUUUGAGAGGUUUAAAAUAAAUUUAAGAAUAAUAUCUUUUAUUUAUUUAUAAAAUAAUUUAUUAAAAUUAUCAUUGUUUUAUUUAAAAUUUAUUUUUAAAUAUAAUUUUAUAAUAAUUUUUUUAAGAUAUAUUAGUACUAAAAUAAUUUGGAACCUUUUUUUUUGGGGUCUAAAGCCCUUAUUUGGACUAUUUGGGCCUUAAGCCAGCCUGCUACUAUACUAUAAUAUGCUUAAUAAACCAUUAUAUUGCAACAGCUUAACAUAUGAUUUGUUAAGUAGGCAAGUAAAUGGAAAUUUGGGUUCUUUUCAUAUGGUUGGUUCAAUUGGUAAUUGCUCAUUCCAAUAAAUACUCUUAAUGGUUUUUGUUAUUUGUAAUAUAAUCCUUAUCUUUAACUUUGUUUUAAGAAUAACAGGGUUUUGCUGGAGAAUUAGACAACAUUAUAGGAGACACUUUCUCUCUUUUGUGAUUUUACAUUUUCACCAUAUCAUUGUCCCUGCCUCACCCAACAGUCAUUGAUUUCAGGCAAACUUCUUAAACGACAUUUGUUAUAUUUUCUUUGAAUAUACUUUGAAGUUCCUUUAUUUUCAUGUAACAACUGAAGUUGUGUGGUUUUUUUUUUUAAGAUUUAUGCUUUUCAAUUAUAUUUCACCGUACAUGUGGAAGUUCACAGUUGUAAUUAUUUUUGGCCUGCCAAAUUUACUUACCCCCACUAUCAGACGAGUUAUAUAUUCCUGUUGAUUGGAAUCAUUGACUGAUCAUGAGGGAAGUACAUGCUGAGAUCAGUAUCUAUAAUCCUAAACAGUGAAGUCAAGGUCAGGAUCAUGGGUGGUUUUUAUGUCUAUCUACUUUUUAUUUUACUAUAUAGGAUUAUGAACUGAAAACAAAUCAACAAAAAAUUGUGUAAGUUGGAGUGACUCAAAUAAUAAUACGCUUGCUAACAAAAAGAAUCAAAUAAAAUUACCCUGCAAUUGCAAGUGUUAAAAUUGUAAUGUAGCUAUUGAUAAAUGAUCGUAUAAAUUAAUUCAAUGUUAAUUUUGCUUCAAGUUGCAAGUGUUGAUGCUUCACCAUAAAUCACCACCAGUAAUUAUUCUAAAUAUUCAUUCUAUAUAUCAGUUACUCUCUUGGUCUUUUAACACUUAUAUGUUUUUGAAAUUUAUGACAAGGCUUUUGUUACAAAAUUGAAAGUUGGCAUUAUUGUUUUCCUACUAUAACGAUGACUUUGUCCUUUAAUUAUGUUCUCUUUUUUCAAGAUCAGAUUGUUAAAGCUGAGAAUAAACAUAGUGAGCAACUCAACACUUUUAAAGAGGGACAUGCAAAGUCAAUAAGUGAAAGCAAAAAGAACUUCUUCAUGUGAAGAGAGCACUUGAUGAUGUGAAUCUUGAGCAUGAAAACUCUAGAAAGGGAAUGCAUGAAUUGCAGCUUAAGCUGCAACUUUCAACAUUUGAGACACGGAAAUUUGAGGAGCUGCAUAAACAAAUGGUUCAAAUUUUAGGUUGUUGGUAAUCACCAACCUCCAUCUAAAAAGCAUAAUAAUAUGUGAAAUCUAUUAUAGAAUGAUGGCUCUAUAGAGUAAAGGCAUCAUAAAUAGGCAACAUAGAGUUUGGUGAGAGAAGAGUUUGAUUACUGUUUUUUAGACAAGAAAGUCGAUAAAAUUUGUUACAAGGUAUGAAAUUGUUCUUAAUUAUCACACCCAUCAUCACUUUGGUAUGAAUUACUUGAUUCUCUUUUCUUUUUUAAUUAACUAUGCAAGGAAACUUUAUGGUUUUAGUUUUUAAGUAAUUUUCAUUAUCAUACUUUGUGUUUUGUAUUUCUUUACUUGAGGGUCUUUUUAGCUAAAAGCAAUUAAAUAUCUUUUGCUAUCUACAUGUUUAAGUAGAUCUGAGACAUUUUCUGUGGUGCUCAAUAGGUAUAAAUAGGAACUGACAAGAGUUGAGCAUACCCUUGAUGCCCUAGUAAAUAAUUUAUGGGAAAUGCAACAAUUGUGUUGGGUUGACACCAACUUUUCUCUCACUCUUUCUAUUAUCUUCCUCUUUUUCUUAUAAUUUGUUCAUUGUCUGUCUUCUUCGUGAGAGUAUGGUAGAUGAUAUAUUGAACCUUAAGUCUAAAAUAUCAAAUAGAUAGGUGAUUGCAAAUUAAUGAAUAUUAAUAUGGUCAACUCCUUCAAUCUUCUAUGGUUUGAUUUGAAUAGGAACUUCUCACAUAUUUGCAGUUUGCAAACAAGCUAAUAUAUAUUUCACACUUAAGUAAGUUUUGAUAUUUGCUAAUAUAUAUUUCACAUUUAAGUAAGUUUUGAUAUUUCUUCUUGGUAGAAGCUAAUUAUUAUGAUUUGAUACUGAAACUAAAUAAAUCUAUGUUUCAUAUACUUCUUCAAAGUCUUGACAUUUUAACCCUCUCUAUAUUUUGUUUUCCAUGUGGUGAAGGAGCUGAUGCUUUGGAAUUUUCAGCGGCCAUGAUGAUUUUUAUAAUUUAAGGCUUUCAAUUAAAGUUAUAAAUUUUCAAUCAUAAUGCUAACUACUGUUCACCAAUGAAGGAGCAAACUAUUGAUAAAAAGUGAGACAAGAGAGGGCAAAAUAACUGAAGCAGAAACGGAAUAGAGGCAAAUCCUCAAUGGUGCAAGGAAAAUAGCAAACAAAAGGAAGGGAUGAAGUUUUGGAGGUUUAGGCGUUUUUGGCCCUUUUGGAAAGUAGGCAAUAAAACAAUAGCAAAUUAGCAAUUGUCAUUUUUUUAUUUCUCCCACUUUCGAGUACCUUUUGCCCCAGUGAAAUUAUAAAAUGCUUUAUUUUGUUCACUUGGUUUAUAACAUAUUGUACUGUGCAAUACAUAAAUUAUUAUUGUACAAUAAAUAUUUAAUUGUCAAAUGUCAGUUCCUUCAUUUUAAAUAUCACAAACGAGUAAGACCCAAAUCUUGAUGAAAUAACGUUUUAUUUAUAAAUUUCUUUAUUUUAUUAAGAUUUAUUUUAGUUUAUCGUGAUGUAAAUUUAUCGAUAAUAAAUUAUUUCUAAUAAAUAUUGUUAUGAUAAUCACACUAAUAUAUUUGUAACCCCAUUGUUUCAUUUUAUUAAACCGUGCAAAGUUCAUAACUAGACAGGUUUUUUUAAAAAUACCAAUAAUUUAUUCGUUUAAUGAUAAUGAAAUCAUAGAUAUAAGACAUCCAUUUUUUUUUUUUAAUCCUACACAUGGAACAGAAAAUGCAAGCACUUUUUGUUGGAUUUGUCACUUGUUUCCGUCACAAAUCUACUUGCUGUAUAUAGUGGAUCAAAUAUUAUCUCAAUUCAAUUUUUAACAAAAAAUAAUUAUUAAUUAAAUUUUAUUUAUUUAUUUUGAUUUGAAUUACUCAUAUUUUGUUUUACGAAUAAGAUGAUUAAAAAAAAAAUUUGAAAGCUACGUUACCGAAGCAAUUGACUGACACGUAACCUCCUCUAGCACUUGGUAAUCAGGUCCUUUCCUAUCAUACUCUUAUGCUUGCUCUCCCAAAAUCCUUUCUCUCUAUGGCAUCUGCAACACGUUUAGUGCACUGCGAGCUGCGGUCGGCGAGGCCCGCGGUUCGGGCGAGGGAACCGGCCGGUCCGGUUCAGGUUACGAUCCCGAAACCCAAAGCGGCGGAGGCGGAAGGCGCGAACAUCGUUUUGCAGCCGCGGUUGUGCACUCUGAGAUCCUACGGUUCGGAUCGAGCGGGGGUUCUGAUCAAGGCCCGCAAGGAGGGUGACGAUGAUGACGUGUCCCCCUUCUUCGCCGCUCUUUCCGACUAUAUUGAGAGCUCUAAGAAAAGUCAUGAUUUUGAGAUCAUCUCUGGUCGUCUAGCUAUGGUUCGUAACUAUUCAUAAAUAAAAACUUGCACUUUCCAUUCAUUUUUUAUGGCUACAACCUUUUACUGCUACUUCUAAGUUCUAACCCCAUCAAAAUUAUUUUCAAUUUUAUUCAGCAAAUCAUUAAUCUGUUUUUCUUUGCAAAUUUAACCCCUUCUAUUUGGGUUCAUUUUUCCAUGCAUGUAGAGAUUUUUAUACUAUUAACUAUUAAGUCUAGUAACCAUUAAUCAUUUACUUCUAAAAAUCUUUAUAAUAUUGUCUGUAUUCAUGACUAUAUAUUAUUAAGGUUUUUAGCUUAUAUAAUAAUUUUUAAAAAAUAAUUUUUUUGAAUUAAUUAACCUUUAAUUAACUUGGUAUGAUAUGAUUAAUAGAUGAUUUGUUUAAACGUGUGCUUAGGAUUUGAUCCUCAGUUUUUAUAUAUUGAAAUAUAGAAAAAUAUCUGUUGUGCAGAAUUAGUCAUUGACCGGAAGAUUCCCUGUUCAAAAAUAUAUAUCAAAAUUAUAUUUACUAAUUUUUUCCAUUGAAUAUAGAAUUAUCUUACAAAUUAAAUACCAGGAAGUGUAGUGUACCCUUCCCGUUUCCUUCUUGCCAUAAUUUUUGUCAAUGUUCCCUUUUAAAUUAAUACUCGUGCAUGCAAUUUAAACUCUUAGUUAUAAGAGAAAUAAAGAAUUAGGCACUAGAUCAUUUUUUUUUUCAUUUUAAUUUUGAUGAUAUAUAUGUUUGUUGCAGAUGGUGUUUGCAGCGACGGUGACAAUGGAAAUGGUGACAGGAAACUCUAUGUUCAGAAAGAUGGACAUUGAAGGAAUCACAGAGGCUGGUGGGGUGUGUUUGGGUGCAGUAACUUGUGCAGCACUCUUUGCAUGGUUCUCCAGUGCUCGAAACAGAGUUGGUCGAAUCUUCACCGUCAGCUGCAACGCAUUCAUCGAUUCCGUAAUUGACCAAAUCGUAGAUGGUUUGUUCUAUGAAGGCGACGACCCUACUGAUUGGCCCGAUGAACCGUGAUCAAAUAUACCAUUCUUACCAUUUUACACACUUUGCAGAUUUAAUGUGUCUAAAAACCAUAGACACAGUUAGACUAAGAUGUAAUAUUAAAUAAUAUUUAGAAAUAUAUAAGCAGAGGAAGAAUACUAAAAGUGAUGUCAUCCCGAUGCAGAAGAAAAAAUAGUAAAAUAAAUAAAUGAUGCGCACCAUAGAUUUGUUGAACCUAAAUGGAUUAUGUAAAGUGUAAACGAUUGUGUCUCACUUUCUUAUUUACAUGUGUUUUUUUUUUUUUAUCAAAUCCCUCUAAUUAUGUGAGCUACCGUUUUCAAUUCUGUUAUGUUAAUAUAUCAUUCUUGCAUAUAGUAACUUAUAUCAAAUACCAAGAGUAACAAAAAUAAUGGAAAGUUGAAUGCUCUUGAAAAAAAAACUUGAAUCAUGAGUGAUUAUGUACAAGAAAUAACUUAAAAUUGUAAUUUGUAGUUCUUAGACUUUGGUUAUACUAUAUUUUGAUGUCUUGGCUGAAAACAGAUAAAUGUGGAACUAUGCUGCAUUUUCGAUUGCCCGAAUGCAUUCCAGUACGCUUGCCUUCUUUGUCAUCGCUGCCAUUAAGGCUUCAUGAGUCACCUUGUUAUUUUUCAAGAGAGAAGCAGCAAACAGAACCUGCAAACAUGAGCUUUUUAAGCACAAAAAUGCAUAAAUUUGAGAGCUGCAUUUAUUUUAGGUAUUUAUCAUAAACAUAUAUGGUAUUUAAAAACAUACGGCCCAUCUUGUGAGAUUUUGUUGCUGAUCUUUGCUGAGUGGUGGCUUGGUUCUGUUAAUAAAUCUCUGCAGGGAAAAAAAACUUUCUAGUAUUAUUAUUUGAGAUAAUUGCGAGUAGUAUAAUAUCCACAUCUUACAAAAAAAUAGAGAUACUUAACCUGGAGACUGAAAAGAUCAGCAGAUUGACCAACCACCUUGUCAUAUGUUAAACCUUCUGCUGCCAGUCCAGCCAUUGACACAACAGCCAAUCUGAUAUGAAAAAAAUGAAAUUACUAAUUAAAACUCUUCCUAUUAAGCCAAGUUUUGUGAUUAUUAAGGCUUGGCUUGGUUAGUACUUGGUUCUUGAAAAGUUAUAAGUUGGCAUGGCUUUUUUCUUCCACAGUGAAUAAGAGAAAUUAGAGGUGUAUGGUAAAUAAACACCUAUCUAGCUCUUUGGCAUCAAGCUGUCCACUAUAGAUAAGUUUUUCAAGCCUCUCAUCAAUGAGAUUGACAUGUUCUUUCCCAAUAUCCAGGGAAUAAUCAAAAAUGGGUAGGCCCAGCAGAUAAGCAACUAGAAUGAAACACAAGACCAAACAGAAAAUGGGUUAGAGCAAAGUCACAUAUCUGAUGCAUUGUGCAUGAAAACCAGCCAAAAAAGAAAAGGGCAGUACUCAAAAAGUGAGCUGCUUCAUGCCUGGCAAUCCUUUCUUGAUAAUCAGGAAAAAGUGUUGAAAAGCUGCCAAUAGCAGCUUGGAGAAGCCUGCACUAGCAACUUGGAGCAUUAAUGUAAAGAAAAUUAACAUUUAACACUGAAGCGGGGUAUCCAUUGCUACAUGGCAAACACUAUUCUUCUUACCCUGGGGAUAUGCUACCCACAGCCAAAACCACUAAUGAGAUACUCCCAAUCAAGUACGGUACAAAGAAGCCCCAAUCCUACAAGAGUCAGCACACAUCAAUCAGAGAUGGAAAAAAAAUGUCAAAAUUAUUUUAAGGUCUGCCUGGUUGAGUGUGUGGGAAGUAGUUAGAAGAAAAAUAUAAGGAAAAGUAUUUUCAACCAUUUUUUUUCCAAUUCUAAUUUUGUAAACCACAAAAAGCGCAAUACAGUAUUAAGUAUCACCAAUGUUGGCGUUAGAAUAUAAUAUGUAGAGUGAGACCAUGAUGCAUGCAUGAAAGGAAAGAGUUUCUAAAUCUUCCACUUUGGUUGUUCUUUUAUCUGGUUGCCAAGCAAGCAUUUAAAAUCCAUAAGUAUAUUAUUCUACUAGAAGUUCCAACUACAUACUGCUUCCAUAAUAAUUUAGAUUAUUUCUGCAAGCAAAAUGAAUGCCAUAUCUGUAUUUACAAAUGCGUGCUUCAACACUAUAUCAUUAAACAGACAUACAGAGCAAAACACAAGUGUGCUAGUGAUACCCCGGGAAGUUGCCCAGCAAGAACAGCCAAAAAUCCUGUUGUUCCAACCACGGUAAAAAGAAAAGCUGCCUGCACCAUCAAAGAUUUUUGUUACUUGUUUGUUAAGAAUGUGUACAACUUACAAGAAACAUAUGUUUUCAAGAUUGAAAGUCUUAUUAGAAAUUACUAGUUUCCCCAUUUACAAUUGAGAUAUUUACAUAUGAUAUUACAUACUCCAUUUCAUACUAAAAAUUAAAAGAUUUCUGAAACUCACAUCGUUUCUGACACUAGGAAUUGCAAGGUUCUCUGAGUUUUUUAUGCCUAGACUUGUCAGCUCCCGGAGUGAUGUCUGAUACACAAAUUUUGAACGGUGAAAACUUGUAUGAGCGAUGAAUUAGUUUACAUAUGAAUGAGUAGUGGAAGCACUGGACAGGUAUACAUGAUGGAUGUUAUGUCCAAGAAUGGUUGAUGAGAGCUUAAUGUUUAGUUGUCACUUUGCCACAUUUUUAAUUGGAGACUGACCGUACGACAUGAAACAUAUGGCUGAGAACUCCAUUUCUUGGCCCAACCAACUUCACUAAGCUGAUUAAGUGCCUCUUUAACAGCAUCACUGUCUUUCUGCACAAACAAGCCUAUCUAUUAUUUACCUAACCAGUAGCAGCUCCAAAGCUAGACAGUAAGUGCAAGUUUGUUUCCACGUUGAAUUGUCUAGAAACAUGUUAGAAUAUCAGCUAAUGUGAUUUUUGGUAAAUUUCACAUGCUUGAUUCUAUUUCUACCUUGAGGAAUUUAUUAUGGGUCUAGAACUUAUUUUGAUUGAAUCAACUUUAGGUAACUUUUACAUUGAAUAUAAAAAAUUAUAUUGGAUUUUGCUACAAACCUGCUUUUAGAAUAAAAACUUUCAAACAUAAAUCAUAUUGCUUCAAAGAGUAGUGCUAUUUAGUGCAAAAAAUCCUUACGAAAUUGAGUACCAAAAGUGGGAAUUUAUAACCAUAAAUGGUGGAUCCCUAUAAAAAAGGAUUUUAUGUAUCUACAUAUACAAUUGAACAUUUUUAACCAAUCACAUCAUCUCGUAAAUUUUCCCGAAUUUGGAUUCGUACUAAAAAGCAUUCUCCUACUUCAAAAUCAAUUUGCAAAAUAAAUUUGGUUCAAAAUUAAUUUUGCCAAUGCUAAUCUAAACACACAGACAGUAAACUACCUUGUAACUGAACUGGGAGCAAUAUUUUCAUAGGGGCAUAAAUAUAAAGCCAAAGAAUCUAAUUGGAACUCAAUUCUUAUCUCAAUUGUUCUUAACUUAAGCCUAUUGUAAUGCUCUAUUACAUUGUUCAACUGGUAUCUAACAAUUAACAAACAAAGCAAGUGUUUAUUACCCCUUGGUGUGAAAAUCAUAAUAGACAUUUGGUGCUAAACUAACACCUUGGAAAUGGCAAAUUCGAGAGUGUUGAGGUCGACCCCAGGGGCAGCAGAGGAAGCUCUAGUACUAGUAGUCCAUUUUGGGAGGUUGAUCUUGAAGCAUCUUAGGUGUUGAUAAUGGAAAUUAUGGUAAUAAUAGGGUUUGGGAAGCAGAGAUGAGUUAGCCAUGGUUGUCAUCCACAUUAUCCCUUUGCUAUCUACGCUGUUUGAUUAUUGGAGGGUGCAGAUAAGGACUUCAAACUUGGUAGUUGGUAGGACCAACCAAGGAGAAAAAAAGAUAAAUAAAUAUGUUGAGAGUGGGAUUUGAACCCACGCCCUUUCGGACCAGAACCUUAAUCUGGCGCCUUAGACCAACUCGGCCAUCUCAACAUUAAUGUUAGUAGGGGUCAUACAAAGCAAGAAAAAAUAUAACUAAUAGCUUAUAUAUAAACACUUAAGAAAAUUUUAAGAUAUUAAUAUCUUGAGACUUGAGUGAUAUAAAGUUACAUAUGCAAAGAUGUUCCAGAAUUUCGUAUGAAGGGCUUCUCACGCAUUCCAUCAAGGGCCUAUUUGACAGCAUUACGGUGUCUGUACAAAAUAUAUGCGUACCACCAAAUGCGGGCACCUAAGCUAAAUAACUAUAGUUUUAUUAUUAUUAAUGAAAUUCACUUAAGUUAAUAUCAAGGGAUAAAAAGAAACUAAUUAGAAAAAAACCUAAUUCAAGGGAUUGGUUGAGGGUUAUAUGUAACAGAUUUUAAGUUUUAACUUAUAUUCAUCUCUUUGAAUUAAACGUUUGUUUGGUUUUGCGGUAUAUUGAAAGAAAUUCGAUUAUUUUUUCAUGUUUAUAGUAAAUUAACCCAAUGUCACUUCCGGAUUUCCAUACGGUUUUUAUUUGCCUAGCAAUUAAACAUGUGCUAAAUGCAAGUUUAUUUAUAAGUGUUAUUUAAACCCAAAUACCUUGUAUUGGGACAUAAAGGUUAUUUCUUCACCCUAAAUUUUCAUCUAAAAAAUAAAAACCUUUGGGCUUUGGGUCUCUAUUUAACUUUCUUGCUUACUUACCAAAAAUAAAUUAAUAAAAGAAAAAUAAGUCACCCACGUAAAAGAUUGUACCCAAAUGAAUCUAACCAAAUUAAGAGCAAACUACAUAGCAGAGGUUGGUAAACCAAGCUAAAGCCAUCCACAAUAUUCAUCAAUAUUGGGGCUUGGUGCUUCGGUUUCAUGUUUUGCUUGAAGCAAAUAAGGUUACACUGAACAUAUGCCAGAUCUCCAAAUUUCUUUACGUUUUUUUUUAUGCUUCUUUUAUUUCCAAUUCUUUAAGGGCAGACCUUGUAUUAAUUUUCCUACAUAGCCGAGGCUGCUAAACGUUAUGUUAGGUUUGGUCUUGGAUAUUAUGGAGGGUUUUUUUUUUUUUGCAGAAGAUAUUGUGAAGAGUUGGAUCUCACAAAACUCUUAUUUAUAUGAUAUCAACCUAAUGAUAUGAAAUAAGAUAAUGUGAUGACACUGCAAUUCAAUAAACAAGUUCAAUACAGCGGCUUACAUAUUCAUCCCUACAAUGACCGUUAAAAUAAGAAACGUUUAAAAAAAAUAUUUUAAAAAAAUAAUGUGUUUCAUAUAGAUCUUUCGCAUAGAACAUUAGAACUAGCAUGGGAGAAUUUAAAAUAUGCGUGCGUCACUUUACAACAUACAAACCUCUUUAGAGGAAGGCAUACAUAAAUUGAUCAACCGAACUCGGAUUACAACACCUCGUUCACCAGUGUCUAUGUCUAUAUACAUCAACAUUAAACAAUAAACAGAACAUAAAUUAAAUGUUGUUGCUAUUGGCUGUCGGAUUGUGCUAAUUUGCCAACACAAAUUAUGCAUAAACAAGUGCCAUGUUGCAUUACUACCCCCUUUUUUUUUUACCAAAGAGAGGUCAACAGCAUGACCUUAAUUGCAAUUGCAUAAAAAAAUAUGAACAAUCAAAAAGAAGCUUGUGACCAAAGCUUGUACUAGCAUUCUGCAUAACCGCCUCCUUCACCCUUCAAAAAGUUGUCAAUUUGUUCUAGCGCCUGCAAGAUACAACGGGAUAACAUUAGAUAAGCAUCAAUACAAAAGUUAGAUUCAACUUCAGCUCCAGGAACUUUUCAGUUUGCCUGGAGCCGACGAAAUGGAGUUAGAAGGAAGGGCAUGAGGCAGAAAUUGCUCAAGACCUCAAUUGCAAUAUCAGUUGGAGACAAUUCGGACACAUCUCUUUUGCUCAGUUUUAUUGCUAUCUCUGUCACAGACAAAAACAGCAUCAGAUCAUUUUAAUGUUAUCAUCUAAGAAACAUUCAACAAUAAAUACAAAGCAUGUUUGUUCUUUCUCAGAUAUUCUGGACAAUUCCACACUUUUUUUUUAUAUUUCAAAACAUCAACGAAAGAUUAAUAGACAUACUUUUUAAUGAGACCCUGGCAUUGGCAUUGGCAUAUGCUUCACCUCUCUCUUCAAAAAUAGCAGACAAACGCAUAAAAGCCUGAAUGUGAAUUCCAAGGGGUAAAAUUAUUUAGUGGAAAAUAAUUUUGAUGCAAAUUCCUAUGAUGAUAAGUUGGUCCAACUUGGUAGCUUAAAUUAUUAAACUAAUGUGUUAUGUUUAGAAAAGAAAAACACCCCUACUAUGGAACAUAAAUAAUUACCCGUGUGUAAGGAUCCCCUGCUUCAUAGUUUAGAAGGGGACGAGAAUUAGUUCCUACAGCUGCAAUUCUCUGUGCCAAGGCUUCCACUGGUACAUCCAACCAAACACUAACCCCCUUGUGCAUAUAUUUCCUGGAAAUCCAUUCGCAUGUAAAGAUGAGGAAAAAUUUAAUUGAAAGAGAGCAAAGUUUAAACUUUUAUCAGUAGCAAACAGCGAGCUAAUUCUUAUACCAAUUGAUGGGCCUCAUAACAGCACCUCCACCAGUAGAAAUAACAAGUCGAUGCAGCAGGGAUAGCUUAUGCAACACCUCAGUCUGAAAUGGUAAGCAGGGAAACAGAAUAGUAAUGCAAUAACAGAACCACAAAAAUAAUCCAGAACAAUUCGUGAUACCAAAGUUUCAGUUGAAUUUAGAGGGGGAGGAACAGAGAAAUAUAGAUAGGAUAUUCUAGAGAGUAAGAUCUGAAUGAAAAGCUUUCUUAUUCAGUACCUCCAUCAUGCAAUAGUCAAAAUAUCCAUAUAUAGAUACUAUAGGCAAAGAUUAAAUAAGUGCAAUUUCCUAAAUAUUAAAUCCUAUGAAUACUAAAGGCAUUUUAACAUGUGAUACAUGAACUGCACAUAAUUCUAACACUUCCCCCUCAAGCCAAAGCUUACUAAGCUUUAAGCUUGUUGUUACCAAGAAAAAGGCACCAGAGAGUGGCUGGAGAAGUCACCAGCAGUUGCAAAUUACUGGACAAUGUUGCCAGAAUGGAUUGACAGCAGGGGAAAUACUAGUGGGAAGAAUACCGAAAUGAGAGGAGAAAGCUACACAAAAUCAGAAUUCAGAACAGUUCCAUAUUUUAGGAAUAAGGCAGAAGAAUUGUGCCACAGGACAGGUUGAAGAGGAAUAGGGUAUAGCUCAAUGAACAUGUGGGAGCUCAUGGCAUAGCCAGUGGCCCAAGGAAGUGCCAUGCAACAAUUACAGACAUGUCUGGCCAUCAAAGACACUGAUAAUAAUUACUUGAUUUGCUACUUUGUGGAUGACUAGCCCCUUCCACCAAAUCUGACCUCAAUUGGUUUAAAAUUAUGUGCUUUUAGUCUCCAAUAAAGGACUAAAAACACAUUGCUAAAUGUAAGAAUUAAAAACAAAUGAAGGGACUAAAAUGAAAAGUCAUAUUUUCAAGGACUAAAAAAUAAUGUUAAGUAUUUUUUCUAUCUGGCCACUCCAAUUAAAACAAUCCAGCACCACUGCUGCUUACAAUAUAAGAUAAUAUCAAGAUAGAUGACGAUGAGGAUGUGGAUGCUAGAUGAGAUUAAACAAACAGGAAAAUCUAAAAUUUCAACACAACUAAACACACUCUCUGAACACUGAAGAAUAUAACAACUAAAAUCAUAGAGCUUUCCAAUCCAACUGACCUCCUUAUUACGAAAGAAAGUCUCACCAUGUUGCUCAAAUAUAUCGGCUACAGAGUUUCCACCAACCUCCUCCUCCACCAAUGCAUCACUACAACACCCAUAAGUUCAAAAAAUAGAGAAAAUAUUCAGCAAGACCUCUAAUAUGGUCAUGAAACAGAUUUAUUGUAUUGUGAUAGAACAUGUACACUGUAGUAUAAAUCUGAACAGAAACAUUACACGGCAGAGUAGAUCAAAUUCCCCAGCUUAACUGAGACCCACCCUGCUUUCAUCAAUUGAAUACAAUCACACACACAUACAUCUUUGACAUGUCUUCAGUUCCCUCUAAUAUCAAAUGAAUAUGAAUAUUGGUUGGUUGAAGCUCAUAUCAGAUACUAAAAUAUAACGAAAUAAUUGCACAAAUAAAAAUAAUAGAGCUGCUUUACAACCAUUGAUCAUUCUUUCUUUAUUCUACUGGUCUAUUGUGCAUUCCAAUUACACAUAAUUUACUUGCUAUUAAUUAAAUGCAUUUUCUCCCCAUGAAGAGAAGAUGAGCAAUUAGCAUACUAACCUAUCACAAAAUGAAUAACCAAGCACUUGCGACAUUAUCUUCCCCACUGUUGUUUUCCCAGAGCCCAUCAUUCCUGCACGUCAAAUUCAAAGCAUUUUUAAUGCCAAAGUAAUUUCCAAAGCAUACCAUGUAAGCACAAGAAGUCAACCAAGAAACUGACCAACAAGAUAAAUACAGCGUCCAUUUAAAUAUGGCUGGGUCUCUUGUGAUCUAUUCUGCAAUUUUAUUGAUUCAAGUAAGACAAUGGCAUGCAGAUACUUAAAGAAGCAACAAUUGACCUAAUAUUAAUUUAUUGGUGAAUUUACUAAGUUGACUAAAAAUGACAAACAACAUCAUUGCUAUACCUUUAGAAUCAGCUCUUCAUCAAGAGGAGCAUGAACGCUCCCAGAUUCCAAAAUUGAAGCUACAAGAAUAACAUUAGGAAUAAUAUGUAAAAAUUCAAGAUGGGCAGCACUAGUUUUAUCCAGUAAGAAACUAGAUCAGAUCCAGGCAUAAUACAUACUACAUCUUCUCAAACACCGUGCUUUCCCUCAGAAGAUGUGGUAAGAUGAUUUUCUUAACUAAUCAGUAAUCAAUAGAAAAGGAAAUAUAAUUCAAUCUGCAGAUAAUAAAAGCUAGUUCAAAAUAAACUGGACAAUGUAGUUAUUGCUGGAUUGAAACCUGGGACUACUAGCAUUAUCUUUUCAUAUUAAUCAUAUAAUGUUUUUCAAUAUAGAUAUUGCUGGAAAAACAAAACAAAACCUUGGGAAAACCUAUGUUUAUGUACAUAAUUCAGACAGGAAAAGAAUGAAAUGUACAAAAUAUCUAGUAUUUAAUUAGAAUAUACUACCAGUAUAAAGUUUUUUUUUCACACUCUCAUCCAAUCAUAGAUUGUCAUAAAAUUUAAAAUUAUUGACUUCUGGAAAAUUACUUUAAAAAUCAUAUCUAUGAUGAUUUCUAUCUAUUUGUUGAUAGUGGAAAAUCUUUUCACUAACAACAACAACAAAAGCUCUUAGAAUGUGAGUUUAAGCCUAAUUCAAUCCCAAAAACUAACUCAAGGGAUAAGGGUAGCCCUUCACUUAUAUAUUCUAACUUGACUUUAUUUUUAGCCGACGUGGGACUUGGGUUUUUCCCAACAAAAGCCCCUACAUAGAUCACACCAUACGAUGCUAUUUGGCACGGUUAAAGACCAAAUAUUCCGAGAUAUUAUUAUUUAUCAGGUACCUUUGGAGGCAGAUAUACAAUAUGGCACACGAAAAGGACAGAUCGUUGUUUCCGAUUCAUUGACAAUUUACACUUCUUAACCCAAUUACCAAUCCUUCAUUUUGUUUGAAAGACAGAUAGCUCAGAACUAACAAUCCUUUCAGCAAAAUUAAAUAAUAAAAAAGGCAAAAUGACCCUUCAACAACAAAAGCGUGUGGAAAGCAGCAAGAACGAAAUUCAACAACACCAAAAGAGGAAAAAAAAGUAAUGGGGUGAUUGGUUUGAAUGGAAACCUGAAAUGUUGUCGUAAGAAGAGGAAACCUCCAAAGCGGUUGUUCUGCGCCGCAUCAUCAUUGGCGAAACAAAAACCCGAAGGCUCUGCGGUUCCCGAGACACACCCAAACGACAUGUACUGAAUGGUGGUCUUCUCCCAAACCUUUCGGGUUGAACCACCGCUGAAAGUUGUAACCUCUGUGCAGCUUUAACAUCCAUUGCUCAAACCACGCAGUUUUUUUCCCUCAACUGAAUCCAGAACGAACGAAUAGUAAAGAGGAAGUGAAGAAGAGAGAAAAAAUAACGGAAGCAGAAUCUAAUAGUAAUUGGAAUGGAAGAUGAGAGAGCCUAAUUUAUAUGAAUGAAUAAUUAAAUGGCGUCAGAGUGGAAAAAGGGAUAAUUGUGAAGAGAAAUGGUUUUCACGUUCUUUUUCUUUCUGCAUAAUUCCCUCUCAUUCUGUUUCUUAUGCCUAAAGAUCCAAUCCAAUUUUCACGAUUCCGCACUCCUCUUAUUAUUUUUCUUUCUUUUGAUCAUCACUGACAAAUGGAAUAAAAUAAAAUAAAAUUGUACCCGCUCAACUUAUUAAAAAUCAUGUUUAAUAUGAGUUUAAAAUAAUUAUUAUUAAAGUUAAUAAACUAUAAAUAAUAAUAUAAAAAUAUCAAUACAUAUUCAAUUAGAAUCUUCUUACUACUAAACUGAUCUUAGUACUAAACUGAUCUUAGUGUAUUAGAUUUAGUUACACGAAAUUUCUUAGAUAUCAAAUCUUUAAAAAAUUGUGUUAUACAGAUAUUAAAUUCAAGUUGUCUCUUACAAUCUUGAUAUGUAUUAUUAACUUGACUCAACGUGUUAUUGAAUGAGUCAUAUUUAGUAUAAAAAAUAUUUAAAUACCAACUGCAUAGAAGUCAUAUUUUUUGUACAUAUUUAAUAUGAAUAAAAAUAAGUCACAUUCAUUUUUUUGUUACCAAAAAAUUACACAGAGGUCAUAUUUAAUAUGUAUUUGUUAUUGUAAAGCUUAAUAAAUUAUACGUUUGGGCGGUUUUCGAUUGAAUGAGUACGAAAGUGAAUAAAUAAUUUGUUCAUUAGGAUUUGGUGUGAGUAUGACCAGGAAUGGUAGCUAAUACAAUUAUUCUUUUCUUUGUUUAUUGAGAUAAUUUUUUCUCCUUAUUACUUGCAAUUGCUUUUAUAUAUAUAUAUAUAGAGAGAGAGAGAGAGAAAUCAAAAACAGAUAUUGUUAGGAGAUAUAUCAAAUGAGUUAGACACAUUCUUUCAGUUCUGAAUUUGUGAUUGAUUUGAUUAUUAUUUUAUUUUUAGUUAUAAACAGUUUUAUUUGCGAUUGAUUUGAUUAUUAUAAGCAGUUUUAUUUGACCCUUAUGUAUUUUAAUGAUAUAAUAAAUUAAAUUUUAUUUUAAAACAGAAUAGUUUUUAAACAAUUUAUUUUCAUUCAGUCAUAACAUCAUUUUUAUUUAUUUAUGAUUAAAUUAAUGUUUUCAUAAAAUAUAGUCAUGAAUAUUUUAAUUAUGAUCUAAUUUAUUUAAUUAUAUUAAGUGUAGAAAAUAUUUACUAUGUAAUAUUUAUUAAAUUAUUAAAAUUAAAUUUAAAAUAAGUUUUUUAUUAUUAAAAACAUAGUUUUUAAUACUUUAAAUUUCAAUUUUUUUUAAUAUACGCUCACUUAUUUUUCAAAAAGAGUAUUUUAUAAGCUACACCUAAAAAAUGAUUUAAGAAAAUUAUAUAAUUUGUUAACAUACUUCUUUUAAAAAUUAAAUAGGUUUAGGUUAAUGAUUGAGCGCUACUAUACGCACAUUUACUUAUUUAAGAAAAAUCAUAUGUUAGCAAUUUAUAAAUAUUAUUUUAAAAUAACCAAAAAAAUAUCUUAUUAAUACACUCCUUGCUGUAUAUUAAUAAAUUCCUCUGAUUUAUAUUUUUAUUUCAAAUGUAAAUAUAUGAAGUAUUCAAAACCAACUAUCGGCGACAUUAAAUAUCAUUAAAAUAUAUGUUUAUAAUUAUUUUUCACUUUUAAUUAAGAGGCUUAUUUAUAUUUUAAAUAAUUAAAGUACAAUUCACAGAUAUUUUAUAAAAGGUGUAUAUUUAAGAAAAAGUAAAAUAUAAGUUUUUUUUUUACACGAGCCAUUUGUUUAUUUUGACUUUUCAUAACGUGAUGGGGUGGAUUACUGGAUUGGUGGAACAGUGGUAGGUUUGGUUUCACUAAUACACACACGUGGCAUGUGGGUGUUUCAGAAUCGCAUACUACAGAAUACAUUUCAUUUUCUUUUUCUUUUUUCAGUUACAAUGAUUAGAAUUUAGAAAUAAGUCAAACUAUAUUAUUCUUUUAUAAUGUAUUUUAAAAAUAUUAAAAUUGUAGGUUUUGAUUUUAAUUUUAAUUAUUAACAUUUUGAUCUUUUAUAAUCUUAAUGACUAUAUUUAAAAUUACCAAACAUGAAAUGAAUAAGAAUAUAGAAAUUAAUUAGGAGAGUAAAAGGUUUGUUUUGUUUUCCAGAUUACUAAUUAGGCAGCCAAAUCCAAACGGUGAUUAUGAUGCUAAAACGGAACGGAAUGGAGAUGUCACGUGGCAGUAGCACGUGCUCUGGUCAGCACCUACUACGGGGUAGGAGAGUGUGUGCAUUCUCCUUUCAAACAAAGAAAGAAUGACAAAUUCGACGCAACAUCACCACCACAACGAUUCUGGUGAGAUAGCGAUCGCUCCUUCAUCUUCAAUAAUUUCUAACCCGUUGUAAAAAUAAGUUUUACCAUCGAUACCAAAAAUAUUUAAAAGUAUAAUAGUCUUUUUUUGCUUACAGUAAGAAUAUGAAGAUGAUGAAUUUUGGCGAACAUCCAUUUGUAGAGCUUUCUAACGGAUCUCCAAAAUAAAGCAUAUAAGUAAAAUAAAACAGAGAAAUUAAUAAAGAUAUAAACUUAAUUUUUUUAUUUUUUAUUGGUUUAAAUUAGUACUUUUCAUUUCUUUUAAUAUUUAUCCUUAAACAUUUUUAAGGUCAAUAAAAACACAUUUAAUAACAAUUACAUAGGUAUAAAUUAUUUUACCAACUUGCUUAUAAUUUUACAUUUUUACAUCUUGAUUUCUUAUAAUUUUAUUAUAUCAACUUGCUAUUUUCUUUUUCUUUUUAGAUAUAAACUUAUUAUAGUUAAAUAUGUUUUUUAAAACUUUUUUUAUUCAACCUAUACUUUAAGAUAUAUUUGAUUUGAACUUUUAUAUGUACCUCACAUAUCAAGAACAUAUAAAAUGAUGAUUUAUUUUAGCUCUUAGUAUUAUAAAAUUACAAUAUCAUCAUUAUUAUUAUUAAUACCAAUUCGAUACGGUUGAAUCAAUGAUCAGUUUAAUGACAGGUCUAACAUUAAAAACAUUGGAAACAUUACAUAAAAACAAACAUUCUAUAAAGUAUUAUUGCUAUAUAUGGUUUUAAUUGAUGUAAUUGCAAAUAUUGUUUUUCAUCAGAAUUGGAUUUAUGUAUAUAUCAGUUUAUCUCAAACUUCAGUUAUUCAUUAACUAUCACUGUGAUCUCAAGAAAACUGAAUUAAAUUGCUAGUAUGAUCUACCAAAAUCUUCAGCCUGACUCAUUCCGCACUCUGCAGAAGCUAUGUUGUUCACAUAGCAUCCACUCAAUAGAAGUUAUUGGGUUUUCCAAUUUUAAUGUUUUGCUCCGCAAGGAAUCCUGUUAUGGCAUUCUUCUGCCAGCCCUUGAAACUCCUGCAAUAAAGAACUAGUUUAGGGUAAAGAUUAACUUGAGUAAAAGGAAAAGGCAUUAGGUUCUAUCUUUGAUGUCAAAGCUGGGAUCACCUUGGCACAGCUAAAAUCAUACUUAGUUUUCUUAACUUUCAACAUAUGCCCAUAACAUGCCUUCUUCCUUCAUGUAAAACCAUAAAUAAGCUACACAAAUGACAGACACAGGAAACGAUGAAAGUACUCCUAAGAAUAUUGCUUUCUAGCAUUACCAGAGCACCAUUUCAGUACUCAAGGACAAACAUGUGUAAUUGGCUACAAAAACAAGUUCAAUAUGACAGCAGCAUGCCCUGCUAAAAUAGUGUUUUCUUCUUUCUUCCUUUUUCUCCUAGUGCACAAAAUCGUCAUUCUAGACUCAUUUUGAAUUUCAAAAUUUUGCAGUUGACAUGAACAUAGUACCGAAGUGUUAACUUAGUUUUAAGCAAACUACUGUACUAACAAGCAAACCCAGUAAUAAAAAUCUGUCAGCAAUGGAGGGGAUGGGGAGUGUAUAUGACAAUUAAUUUGGAAAGUGGGUAACUUUAGGCUAGUCCCCUCACCACAAAGAAUGCAGAUGACUCUUAAAUCUUAAUAAGUGAACAUGAUAACAAAUGGCAGGAACUAGGUAGGGUCCAGGUUGGUUCUUGUUCUCUGACAUUUUCCAUUAGUGGGGAAGGACUGUGAACUAGUGGGAGUCAGUGAGUGUGGAAGGGAUGGUGGAAAAGGAUUUAUCACUCUUUUCCCAAUUUUCCCUAACCCAAAGAAAGCAGUUCUACCAUUUUUUUUUUACAAUCUAUUACUGCAAGAGAAUAAUGGUAGGUGGAAAGCCUUAAACAGAUUGUGGUCUAAAUAACAACAUUGAUUAAGUUUUUCAAACCAAGGUGCCUUGUGGUUGUGGAUGAUUUUUUUUUUAUAAACUGUUCAGCUCUCAACCAUGAAAUAGCAUUCACUUCUUGCUUUGGCAUUAGCAAUACAAACAGAUUGCUGAUUGCAUAAGGACAAUGCUCAUUAAGCUCACUUGUGGUCUAGAUGUGCAAGAAUUUCACCACCAGGAAAUGCAGAAUAAGUGGCUUCAUAUGCAGCUUUUAUAGACUGUCUCCAUGUUCCACCAAUCUCCACAUUUUUUUCUCCUUUUGACUGGUUUGGAUCUUCCAUUGGCAGCGAAUAUCCAGAAAGUAGGUGACCCACCCAUACAUUAUCUUUCCUAGAUUGGAUGAGCAGAGUAAGUAUUCAUAUUUCAUUUGAGCAAAACACAUCCAAGAGAAAAUAUGAUGCACACAAAAUGUUUAGAAUUUCAAUUCCAAAAUCACCCUCAGGUAACUGAUAUAGUAUGAGAUCAAGUUUGAGAAAACUUGUAAAAUUUACAGAGCUUUCAAACUAAAGGCCAUGUAAUUACAAAGUGAACUAAUUUAAGCAUACAAAAAUAAGCAUUUUAUUAAUCAUAAAAUUUUAUGUAAAUAUCUUCUCAAAUGGAUUUAGUAGAAAUUUAUUCACCCAAAGUCGAGAUGUAUUAUAAAACAAAACUUUGUAGUCAAUAUAUUUUCAUAAUCUAUGUGAAUGUACUAUUUACAGCCUUCCAUCAUAGGGCCAUUGAAUUUGAUAAUAGAAUUUUAUGAAUAAUGUAACGAUCAAAAAUUUUAUGAGGGUCAAAUUGCUACAUUUAACAUAUCAGUUUUAAUAAUACUAUGAUAAAAGUCUUCAUCUGCAUAUUAAGUAAAUGGAAGAUGCGAGUAAUAAGUAAAUGGAUGAUGCGAGUAAAUUUGAAUAAUUGAAACCCUAAAAGGCAAAGACAUAGUCCAAAUCUUGGGAUCAAAUAGCAGAGUAUACUAGAAGGGGGCUACAAAAUUACCCAAAAGUUAAUGACGCUGACAACAGCUGAUAAGUUCCAGUCUUUCUUUGACAUUAGAAAAUUAAAUUAUAAAGACAUGACUGACAAUGAAUGAUUUGAAUACUUACAAUACUACAUCCACAUGCCGAGGUGCAUAAUGUCCACCACCUAUCCCAAGAAGGAUUUUCUUGUUAUCAUUCUCCCUGUAAGAGCGUGAGAUUUAGAUUCAGGUUACAAAAAUUUCACCAUUUGUAGGAAGCUUUAAUGAUCAAAAGGAAACAAACCUAAUAUUUCUAGUCCAUAAUUAUGCAAUAACACGAACAAUUUAAAAGUUUCAGGAAGAUAUAUAGUCCACCAAGUCAGGAAUUGUAAGAUCAGAGGACCAUAGAUUAAACAUAUAUUGCAUCUCAUGAAACAGAGUGAGAACAAGAUGUGAAGACUGAAGACCUCACGAGGUAUAUACCAAAUACAAAAUUGAGCACGCAAACCAACAUCACUGCAUGUGAUUAACUUAGCUUAAUCAACUUACCUGCUCCAGUUUCCUACAUCUGACACACCUCCAAGUCCAAGUCCUUCCCAUACUAACUACAAGAACCCAAACAAAAUAUCAUUUCAAUCAACAAAAUCAAAUAUUACUAACCAGCUGGCAGCUGCCAUCUAAAGCAUCUAUUUUGGUAUGGAUAGUUAGAGGGAAGUUUAUUGUUCAGGAGUAAUUGGGUAUGAGUGUACUCUCCAUACAGGAAAAUUCCAGAUAUUGAUGGAAAAGUAAUGAAAAUAAAUAAAUAUAAAAGUCCACCCAACCUGUGCCAUAACUUGAGCAGCAUCCUGUCUCUUCCAAUAGUCUUCAGUACUACCUAUACCAGAAUAGAAAAGCAGUUGUUGUAUUAAAUUUAAAAUUUUAUCUAACUGCUUGCAGCUUCUAGUGUAACUUGAGAAUGGAGUUUAGCAGCCACAAACUAUGAUAGGAAUCAAGAGGAAAACUUGGGUCAGCAGAUACAAAAUAUGGAAAAUAGGCCCAAGGUUCAGCAAGUUUACUAUAAGAAACGUAAGCAACAAAAUAGGGGUGUUGAGCUGGCAAGAGGGGACACAUUUUGGCUUGGGCUAAUAGAUUGAUUUUUCAGUUACAGACUCUCUCUUCCCCAUUUAUUCUAGCUAUAUUUAUUACAUGUAUUUGGCCACUAAAAAUCAUUGCUAUUAAUAAAUCCUUAUGACUGAUAUUCUGUUACCACUCUUCCUGCUACAAACCUUCUUAAUGGGUGGCUUACUAAAAGAAGGCUGGUGAAGGAAUGCUUAUGCCUUGAAAGGACAAGACAAAAAUCUUUAGGUUGGAUGAUAAACAAUGACAACCCAAAUUGGUUAAGACCUAGGACAGUACUUAAAUAACACCAUUUUCACAGUACUUACCUAAUAAAUAGACCAUGCAACGUGCUUACAAAAUAAGAUAUGUAUCAAAUCCACGAAUCAAAAAUCGGUGUAGGAGGAAGGAAAAAACACUGACCAAUCUCCAAAAACAUGGUUGGCUUAUUGGUCAACGGUCCAUGGUGAGUGGCCUCUAAAGUAAUCUAAAUUGAGGAAACAGUGUCAGAAUUGCAUAUCAAAAUUGAACUUUCCAUCCACAGGAAACAAGCUAUGCAUUUGCAGGCAAGAAUGUCGAAUCGAAUUGAAUCAAAAGCUAAUUUAGUUUAAUAGCAAAAAAACACAUGACCACCUCAAAUUCAGGGACAAGAUUAUGAGCUUGGGCAAGGUUUUUCAAAAGGCGAAGCCAAGGCCCCAUCCUAGGAUUUGGAAGAGCUGCCCAUCCAGGUCUGCCGCCUUGGGGGGGAACAUCGCCUUGGCGCAAAUGAGGAACUCCAAUAGGGUGAACAGUCAGGGCAGGCUUGUUGGAGGCAGCAGUGUGCUUGCUGAAGAAGAUCACUUCAUCAAUAACCUCCCCAGUAACUUCUUCCCACCUCUUGUCCAACUCAUCUUCCGCAACUAUGCUCUUCCCAUGUACCAACACCCUCACCCCUUCAUUCACAUAGCUCUUCAUAUCAUCCUAGUAAGUGCCAACAAAUAACAUUCAAUUCAAACAAACAAAUAGCCAGCAAAAAGGGUAUAAUUUUAAUGGUUUCAACCUGGAAAUGGGGACCGGGUUUCCACCCGGGCAUGCCCAAAAGCGCGUUGGCCGGGUUGAUGGAAGCAGGGUCGGAUGUAGUUGCCACUAGGAGCGCCACCAUUGCUUUGUGUUCUGAAACUGAAAGUGGUUUUGGGGAUGAAGAUGAGGUAUUUAUAUGAUAACGAAUGGAAAUUCGUUUUGAUUUUGAAGAUCCGAGCCCACGGUUUUGAAGAUGGAACAGCCGAAAGAAAAGGGGAAGGUGCCGCCGGACCAACUUGCCCGCUGCUAACGUGACUAACAUGCUCUAUGCUUGGGGAGAUCCACAAGGUUUUUUUUCUCUUUUUUUUUUAAAAAAAAAAAUUGAGAUUUAUUAUCCAACGAGGGUAAAUUAAUUCGUUGAGUUUAUUGAUAGAAUAUAAGUUUAAUUUACAUAUGAUAUUUUUUAAAGAGGAACGAUUAUUUAUAGUACUUUUUUUAAGUUGUAAUAUAUUUUUUUCUUUUUAAUUAGGAUCUUUGAUUUCUCAUUGAGAUAUGAGUUAAGCCAAGAUUAAUAAAUUAACAAUAGUGUUUAACUACUAAAAUUUGAUUUUUAUUUUUUUAGUUGCCAAAAUUUGUACACUCAAGAGAACAACUUUUAAAAAAAUUCAAUGACUAAAAAAAUAAAUUUAAAUUUGGAAAAUUAAAAAAACAAAAUCCUCAAUUUUGAUGAAACAUUUCCAUUUUUAUGUAAUAAUGGUUCAAUUUUUUUUAUCAUAUACAUGAAAGAUAAAACUUGGUAGAGCAUGCUGAAUGUAUCAUUAUUGGACACAAACUAUGACCAAUAAUAAAUAACACAUCGAUAAAUGAUAAAAAAAAAAAUAACACAUUGAUACAAUUUCGAAAAGAAAAAAAAAAGAUUUCUUCAGGAUUUUUAUGAAUUUGAGUAGGUAUUGAUUCCUCGACAAAUGCAUUUUAAACACACGUACAAAUAAAAUACACUUAAUCGCGGAGUUGAAAAAUACUAUUUUUUAUGAUAAGGAACUACUCUGUUUUUUAAUUAUUGAAAAUUUAUUCAACAUUACAUUCAUAAAAUUAAAAUGUUAAAAAAUAUAUAAAUAACCAAAAACAAAUUUUUUGAAAGAUAAAAAACUAAAACAAAUUUUAGUAAAAAAUAAUGGAUUAAAAAACAUAUUUGGCUUACCUGAUUUUUGAAGAUUAACGUUUGCGGACUGGCUUGAUAAUAAUUCUCAUGAAUCCGAAGUAGAUGAAAUGCUGAUAUUGAUUUUGACAUCAUUAAACUAAAACUAGAGCAUGCAUCCACUUCGCUUCUAUCUAUGAUGCGAAGCCAGCGUCGACUACUACGAGGAAUAUCCCACUUCAAAUUCCUUAACAAAAUCAAUGUGAGCGAGACUUUGCACUUCUCCACUCUGUUACCUCAGUUUCUUCAACCACAUGAUUCUCCAAUCCUUAAACAAAGGAAAAUUGGUCGUGAAUUGGCCAACUUAUUGCAAAAGCCACGCCCGAACAUUCCCACCACUCAUUACUAUAAGAAAAUCCAUGCCCACGUUGUGGUGUUGGGUUUUCACCAACAUGAACCUUCUGAGUGAUGCACAGAAGCUGUUCGAUGUUAUGUCUCAUAGGAACCUAGUUACUUGGUCUUCCAUGGUUUCUAUGUACACUCAACAUGGUUACAAUGUGGAAGCAUUGGUGUUGUUCUGCCGGUUCAUGAGAAGUUGCAGUGAGGAAUCAAAUGAAUACAUUUUAGCCAGUGUCGUUAGAGCUUGUACACAAUUGGGUAGUCUCAGUCAUGCUCUCCAGGUGCAUGCUUUUGUUGUUAAGGGUGGGUUUGUUCAAGAUGCGUAUGUGGGUACAUCUUUGAUUAAUUUUUACACCAAGCAUGGUUAUGUUGAUGAAGCAAGGUUCAUUUUUGAUGGCCUAGAAGUUAAAACCAGUCACAUGGACCACAAUUAUAGCAGGGUAUGCAAAACUUGGAAGAAGUGAAGUAUCCUUGAAGUUGUUAGACCAAAUGAGAGGGGGCGAUGUCUAUCCAGACAGGUAUGUGAUUUCUAGUGUUUUGAGUGCUUGUUCGAUGCUUGAGUUUCUUGAAGGGGGGAGGCAAAUUCAUGGAUAUAUCUUAAGGAGGGGCUUUGACAUGGAUGUUUCGGUGGUCAAUGGAAUUAUUGAUUUUUAUUUGAAAUGUCAAAAAGUGAAGAAAGGACGGACGUUAUUUAAUCAGCUAGAAGAUAAAGAUGUUGUUUCAUGGACCACAAUGAUUGCUGGUUGCAUGCAAAAUUCAUUCCACGGGGAUGCCAUGGACCUGUUUGUUGAAAUGGUUAGAAUGGGUUGGAAGCCUGAUGCAUUUGGUUUCACUAGUGUUCUCAAUUCAUGUGGUUCACUGCAGGCCCUAGAAAAGGGAAGACAAGUGCACGCUUAUGCUGUCAAGGUCAAUAUUGAUGAUGAUGAUUUUGUGAAAAAUGGUUUGAUUGACAUGUAUGCCAAAUGUGAUUCCUUGACUAAUGCAAGAAAAGUCUUCGACCUUGUGGCUGCUAUAAAUGUAGUAUCCUACAAUGCAAUGAUAGAAGGAUACUCAAGACAAGACAAGCUGGUUGAAGCAUUGGAUCUUUUUCGUGAAAUGAGGCUAAGUUUAUCGCCACCAACUCUAUUAACAUUUGUAAGCCUUCUUGGGCUAUCUGCAUCAUUAUUUCUCCUGGAACUAAGCAUCCAAAUCCACUGCCUGAUUAUUAAAUAUGGGGCUUCUUUAGACAAUUUUGCUGGAAGUGCUCUAAUAGAUGUUUAUUCAAAAUGCUCAUGUGUUGGGGAUGCAAGACUAGUUUUUGAGGAGAUAUAUGACAAAGACAUUGUAGUAUGGAAUGCAAUGUUUUCUGGUUGCGGCCAACAACUGGAAAAUGAGGAGUCUCUCAAACUUUACAAACAUCUACAAAGGUCAAGGCUAAAACCCAAUGAAUUCACUUUUGCCGCUGUAAUCGCAGCAGCAAGUAACAUAGCAAGUCUGCGAUAUGGUCAGCAGUUUCACAACCAGGUGAUUAAGAUAGGUCUUGAUGAUGACCCCUUUGUAACAAAUUCCCCACUGGAUAUGUAUGCCAAGUGUGGAAGCAUCAAAGAGGCUCACAAGGCAUUCAGUUCCACAAACCAAAGAGACAUUGCUUGUUGGAAUUCCAUGAUUUCAACAUAUGCCCAGCAUGGAGACGCAGCAAAAGCUCUUGAGGUGUUCAAACACAUGAUUAUGGAGGGAGCGAAGCCAAAUUAUGUCACCUUUGUAGGUGUACUAUCAGCAUGUAGCCAUGCUGGACUUCUAGACCUUGGACUUCAUCACUUUGAAUCAAUGUCCAAGUUUGGAAUUGAACCAGGGAUUGAUCAUUAUGCAUGCAUGGUUUCUCUCUUGGGCCGUGCUGGUAAAAUAUAUGAAGCUAAGGAAUUUAUUGAGAAGAUGCCCAUAAAACCAGCAGCAGUAGUGUGGAGGAGCUUGCUCAGUGCAUGUAGAGUUUCAGGUCAUAUAGAACUGGGUACACAUGCUGCUGAGAUGGCAAUUUCGUGUGAUCCAGCAGAUAGCGGAUCAUAUAUAUUACUUUCAAAUAUUUUUGCAUCAAAAGGGACGUGGGCAAAUGUCAGAAGGGUGAGGGAGAAAAUGGACAUGAGCAGGGUAGUGAAGGAACCAGGUUGGAGCUGGAUUGAAGUGAAUAAUGAAGUUCACAGAUUUAUUGCCAGAGGCACAGCCCAUCGUGACUCUAUACUUAUAUCUCUAGUUUUAGACAAUUUGAUUCUACAGAUCAAAGGGUUUGGUUAUGUGCCUAACACUGCCACAUUUUUUCUUGAUGAUUGAUAUUAAUCAAACUGUACAUAGUUUGCUAUUUCGUUGGGCAACAAUAUUGGGCUUCAUUCUUUUUUCAUCCUGAAGACAUUUUUUAUCAAGGUUAAUUUUGUGAUCCAAUUAAAUUCAAGCUCACCUCUCUGUAGACAAAGGAUGAGACUGUGCAGUGAUUUUUCCUUGAGAUUGAAACAUGACAACGAACUUCUACAGCACAUACCAAAGAGAUGGAGGUGUUCUCUUGUGGGUGACAGGUCAAGGAAGGCAACGCUAAGCUUGAGUUUAGGUGGACAAAGACUCAACUAAUAGGCAGAAUUGUUGAUUAUGUGUUAACUGGUACAUGAAUGCAAAUUUGAACUUGCAACUUUAGAUUCAUCUAAUAGAACCGAUGAAUUUGUGCAUGUAAACUUUUUAUUUCUAGCAUUACUCCGAAGUCCCAAGGAUAGGACAAUUUUUUGUUUAAGAAAGCAAUGUAAAUGGUGACACCAUCCAUCCUCUCCAAAAGAAACAAUCGAUUAUUUUGCUGCUCAACUGAGUCAUAGUUACAUUUGAACUUAUCUUCCUUUUGCUCUUCGGACAAGGAGCAGUGAAGAAUCUCUUUUCAAUUUGGACUGGGGUGCUUUAACAUUAUUUAAAAUAUUAAUCUGUGUCUUAAAUAAAAGUCAAUUCAAAGCAUUUUUCUAAAAUAAAUUACUUUCAAAUUAACCGCUUAAUGGAAAUACCAAGCAAUGAUUCUAUGUAUAAUUUUUUUAUAAUUAAUUCUGUAUAAUUAAUAAUAUACAAUUGGGAUAUUUUAAAAUUACUUAGUAACAAAACAGAGUCACAGAAAUUGAGAAUAAGACAUAAAAGUAAUUUCUUAAAAAAAAGAGACAUAAUUUUCUCAUGUUAUUACGUUUAUAAUGACAAAAUAGUUCAUGGGCCUGAGACAUGGAUCCUUUGAGUCGGGUCAGGGCCCGUAAGAUAGGGUUUAUACAAAAGGAGGCACUUCUCUGAUUUCAUUUGCGCAUUGAACGAAAAUUAGGGUUUGUAGUGUAGCAGGAACAAGCAGCAAUGGCGCCGAAGGUAACACGCAAGGUUAGCAGAAACCCCGAAUUGAUAAGGGGAAUUGGAAAGUACUCGAGGUCGCAGAUGUACCACAAGAGGGGCAUUUGGGCUAUCAAGGCCAAAAAUGGUGGCGUUUUACCUCGCCACGACCCUAAACCCAAACCUGAAACACCCGCUGAAAAACCACCCAAAUUUUACCCUGCUGAUGAUAUCAAGAAGCCCCUUGUCAACAAGCACAAACCCAAACCCGCUAAGCUCAGGUGCAUUAUCAAUCUCAUUCUCACUUGUUAUGUGUAAUGGAUUUUAAAAUUUGUGUUUUUUUAUUUGAUUUUAGUUUAGUUUGUGUAAUUGAUUUGAUUUGGAGUUUGAGAUGGUAGAAAGGUGACAUAUGAUUGAGAUUAAAGUAGAAAGAGGAUCUAUAGGAAACUCUGAAAUUUAAUGAUUGAAUAAUAUAAUGUGCCGAUACAAAGCUCAGGGUAAAUUUACAACCUAACCAAUUCACUAACACGUAACUAAGUAGAAUUUUGGAUGUGUUCCAGGGCUAGCAUUACUCCGGGAACAGUGUUGAUUCUUCUUGCUGGUAGAUUUAAGGGAAAGAGGGUAGUCUUUUUGAAGCAGCUUCCUUCUGGAUUGCUUCUUGUAACUGGUGAGUUUUGUUGUUAAACAUGAUACUUCUUAUUGCUAAGAUUUUGCAUGCUAAGCAUUUUGUUCAUGUGCCAUUGUAAUAAUCAAUUGAAUUUUUUAUUUUAGUCUUGAUGAGUAAUAAUCAAUUAUUACUCUUGCAUGUGAAUGUUGCUUCUUCAUUAUUGCUUGGGGUGUAUACUCCUGUUUCGUCUCACAAUGUUAGUCUCAUUAUAUUAGGGAUUUCAUUUUCUGAUUUAAGAUUGUAUAGGAAACAGUGAAAAUAGAAAACAAAGAUUAGAUGCUCACCAAAAUACCUAAAUACCUAUUGCUCACCAAUUGUAAUUUGUGAUGCACUCUGUUCUCCACCCAUCUCUGGUCUGUCUUAUAUCUCACUUGCCAUUUCAGGUCCUUUCAAGGUUAAUGGAGUUCCUUUGAGACGUGUGAAUCAGGCCUAUGUUAUUGGCACAUCAACCAAAGUAGAUAUCUCUGCUGUUAAUGUUGACAGCUUUGGCGACAAAUACUUUGCGAAGGAAGCCCAGAAGAAGAAGAAGAAGGGAGAAGGCGAGUUCUUUGAGGCAGAGAAAGAGGUGGGAUUAUCAAUUUUUGGAUUUUGUUGAUGUUCUCCCUGUUAUUCUUACUUGCUUCUGCAUGCUGAUCUCUGCAUUCUUUUUUCUGAUGAUGCAGGAAAAGAGUGUGUUGCCCCAGCAGAAGAAAGAUGACCAGAAAACUGUGGACGCUGCAGUGUUAAAAGCCAUUGAGAGUGUGCCAGACUUGAAGUCCUAUUUGGGUGCCAGGUUUUCUCUGAAGGCCGGGGUGAAACCACAUGAGCUAGUCUUCUAGAGGAAAGAGGGGUGUUACUCUUGUUUUUGAUAUCGUGUUUGUUUAUUGAUGCUGGUUCUUAUAGUUGCCCUCUUAUAACAUUCUUGUUAGCAGACAAAUGAAGAACCUAAAAUUUUGUUAGUCAAAUUGUGACGCGUGCUCUUUACAUUUUGUUGAUUGUGUGAAUUUUAGAUAUUGUGUGGACCUUUAGCAUGCCAAAUGAAAAAAAAAUUGGAAACAGAUAUACAUGUGGCAAGGCUGGUGAAUGGUACUUGUAAAGAACCGUGGUAGUAGUAAAAUGGGUAUGAACAAUUAUCAUGCAAAAUUUUCUGAACUUAUCAAAUUUGCCUCACGGAUUUUUUUCAGUUCACGUCUUUCAUAAUCUGAAGGGUCAAUUUUGUUAGUGUUUUUAGAAAAUGAAUACUACGUAUUAUUGUAUUAGUGUAAACAUUUGACUUGUGUAUGCUAUUUUUAACAGAAUAUCUUAGUUUGCACCUUGAGUGCUUUCGUAAUAUUUAUGUGAAAUGACAUUUAUAAUCUAAUUAAUAGCAAAAGGUUUUGCAUAUUACAUAAUGAUGUUCCACUCAAUAGAACGAAUGACGAUUUACAAAUUUAGAGAAUAUUUUUUGUUUCAUUAAUUUUACGUACUAAAGUGACUCCUUUGCCAAAUUCAAGACCCUAGUUUGAGGUUUACAUGGAAAUUUUUUCAUAAUACAUUCAUAAAAUUUUAAGAUAAUAAAAAAAUCGACAAUGACUAGGAUGAGCCUUCCCGAGUAUUUUUUUUUUUUUUUUUGCCCUUGGCUCCUUUUUAGAAUUUUCUAUUGACUUGCAGUUAAGUAGUUAUGCUUUUGGAAAACUUUAAUAUUCAUGUUUAGACUAAAUUUGAAAAAAUAAUCCUUUAUUUUUUAAAGGCUGAUAAACGUGAAGUAUUAUUUCUUCAUUGAUAAAUUGAAUAUGCAUUUAAUAUAUACUAAAAAAGUAGAAAUAAAAAUGAAAACUUUUUCUUUUUGAAUUUGAAUGAAAUGAAAUUUACACUUAAAAGAUAAAAGUAUGAUAUGUGUGUGAGACAGAAAAAAAAUCAUGUUUUUUCAUUUAAACCAUAGGUAAAAGAUUCGAUCUUGUUUGAAUCGGAAAUCAUGCACAAUAGGACUAACUCUCUCAUCUAUAAAAAAAUCAAAACUAUGACCCUACUUAUAGAAAAUCAAAUCAUUUAAAUAGUUUGAUGGCACGUGUCAAUUUAAACAAAUUAAAUUUUAAUUAGUAAAAUGAAGAUUGGCAUAUUAAAAAAUUAAUGGACACGUAUUAGACUGGGCUUGGAACCACAGACGUAAGCCAACAUUUCGUGGGUCUGGAGCAUGGAUCCUUCGAGUCGGGUCAAGGCCCGUUAGAUAGGGUUUAUACAGAGCAUGUGUAUGUCUGAUUUUCCUUUGCGCAUUGAACGAAAAUUAGGGUUUGUAGUGUAGCAGGAAGAAGCAGCAAUGGCGCCGAAGAUAACACGUAAGGUUAGCAGAAACCCUGAAUUGAUAAGGGGAAUCGGAAAGUACUCGAGGUCGCAGAUGUACCACAAGAGGGGCAUUUGGGCUAUCAAGGCCAAAAACGGUGGCGUUUUACCUCGCCACGACCCUAAACCCAAGCCUGAAGCUCCUGCUGAAAAACCACCCAAAUUUUACCCUGCUGAUGAUAUCAAGAAGCCCCUUGUCAACAAGCACAAACCGAAACCAGCUAAGCUCAGGUGCAUUUUCACUUCAAUCCCAUCCUCACUUUAAUUUGUUUUUAUUUUUGUGUUUUAAUUUAUUUUGACUUAUUUUAUGAUGAUGCUAGUGAAUUGAUUUGGGAUCUGGUGAGUGAAAUGUAUGUUAUUGCUAAUUGAUAAAAUGAAUUUGAAUUUUUUUUAAUAAAAUUUCUUUGGAUUAAUGGCAUUUUUUUAUUAUUUAUAUGUGGAGCCUAUGUCGUUUGAUUUUGUGUCUGGUGUGUGUUCAGG
rnacentral:lncRNA from 1 species